rnacentral:lncRNA from 1 species
AGCAUCGUCGUCUCCACCGAUGAAAUGCAGGUAGCUCUGGAGCACGUACUCGUCCAUCGUGUUGUUUUCCCCAAACGAGCGAGACUUGGAAGCUAAGUGAUCGUUGUAGGACGCGAUCUGAACGAGCCAGUGCAAGACGGCGACGAAGGUCGGCCAGGCGUGGGGAGUGGCCGGCAUGCGGAGCGCCGACUUGUUGACUUCGAACGGAGAUGACGAAGUUGAAGAAUGGCGGUGAUGUCCUUGGCGGAGGGGAGGGCGGUCUUGAUGAGCACCGAGAAGGCGCGAGCGGAGAGGUAGCAGUUGACUUCGCGGACGGCGGUCUGCUGGUAGGAGCGGUCGUCGAGGAGGCCGGCGCCGGCGGAGGAGGGGCGGCUGCUGGCGAAGCUGGCGUCGGAGUCGCGCCCCCCGCCGCCGAACUGGUGGAGAUCCGGCGGCGGCGGAGGAGGGGCGAAGGACGGCUUCGCGCGGCCGCGACCUCUGCCCUUCAUCGCGCUGGGCGGUUUUCCCCCGAUCGAAUUGGGGAAAUGGGAAUUUUCAUUUUCCCGUUUUAUAUUAUUGUAGGAAUAUUAAAUUAAUUUGAUUUUGAGUUCGGGGGAGAUUUUCGCGACUAAAAUGCAACUGGGUAUUGUUAAUUAUUAUUAUUUUUUUAAUGCUUUGCCAAUGGAUAAUUUUUGGUUUUUUUUCAUUUAUGAGAUAAUCACGGUCCGUGAUAAAAGCCUUUCCAGCAUCGCCGCGAGGUCUUCAAGCAAGUACGGCACUGGAGAGUGCCACGGCGUCGACUGGCAACUCGUUGACGGGGGGGUGUUGGAGAAAUAAUUGGAAAGAGGGAAUUAGAGAGGGACACGGAUGCAAGAAAGAGAACGUAGAGAAAUAAAUGAGGAGUGAGAGUGGAGAAAAUAUUCAGUGGUUUGUUCUCACCACGUCAUCGAACAUUUUUUGCUUUCAUCCAAUAGCAGAUCGACACGUGUAUGAUGACGUGGAAUUAAUCACAAAAAUUGAAAACUUCAUUUCUCUCUUCCUCUGCCAUGGCUAGCACCGCCCCAGCGCGGUCGAAGAGAGUGGGACCUGCGAGAAAAGACAGAAGAAAACGAAGGAUCGCCACAUUACAAAAUAAUGCUUUGAAAAGGUAGAACGACGAAAGUUGAUAUUGUCAAAAAAGUAGUUUGGCUAGUGGCGCAGUCCCUUUUCAAUCCGUUUUGGACUUCCAUUCGAUCGCCUCCUCUUCACCCCAUGUCUAUUUCCAAGUUGCUCGCCAGCGUGAGACGGAGCGGAGGAGAGAUACUAGCGCUCGUAUUAGCUGAUCCUCUAAGAUUGGUUCCGCGCUUGAGAUCAGGUCGGGUUGGGGCUUCUUCUGUGUAGAUGGAAGUUGCUAUUUUUAGCUGAGUAGGAGUGACGAGGUGGUGGGAGAAAUGGACAACUAUUUGAAGGAGAAUUUCGGAUAUUUGAAGCCGAAGAACUCGACGGAAGAGGAGCUCCGGAGGUGGAGAAGUGCGUGCGGGUUGGUGAAGAAUAGGAAACGGAGGUUCCGAUACACGGCCAAUCUGUCCAAGCGAUCAGAAGCCGAUGCUAUACGUCGCGCGUUUAAGGUCGGUCUGCCACUGUUUUUUCAGGAACUUGAGAUCUUGCACUGACCAGAGAGAGAGAGGGAGAGAGGGAGGGAGGGAGGGAGGGAGAUAGAAGUGCGCUGGUUUCUUAAAUCAGGUUGAUGUAGUUCUUGCAUCGUUUGCCUGUGCAAUUGCUAAAGAAAAAGAGAUCUUCUUGAAGCUUUCAAAGCCUUUGCAGUGCCCUUUUUAUUUUAUUUUUUCUCUUUGAUCUUUUUCAUCUGCAAUGCAAAGCGCAGGAGGAACGCAAGAAUUCUUCUGUUCGCUCUUUGAAUAAAAAGUGGAGUUAUGAUGGAGAUAAUGAGAAGGUUAGUAAAGAAAGGAUUUCCUAAAUCAGCUUGAUGUAGUUCUUGCAUUUUUUGCCUGUGCAAAUGCUUAAGAAAAGAGAUCAUCUUUCAAAACCUUUGCUGUGCCCGAUCAUCCUUCAAAACCUUUGCCGUGCCCUUUUUAUCUCCCUCUGUUUGAUCUUUUUCAUCCGUAAAGCGCAGGAGGUACACAAGGAUUCUCCUGAUUGCCCUUUGAAUAAAAAGGAUGGUUCAGCUGGAGAUGAUGAGGAGGUUAGUAAAUAAGGAUUUCUUAAAUCAGGUUGAUGUAGUUCUUGCAUCGUUUGCCUGUGCAAAUGCUAAAGAAAAGGGAUCAUCUUUCAAAACCUUUGCCAUGCCCUUUUUGUAAAGAAAGUAUUUCUUAAAUCAGCUUGAUGUAAUUCUCGCAUCGUUUGCCUAUUGAAUUGCAAAAGAAAAGAUAUCAUCUUUCAAAGCCUUUGCAGUGCCUUGUGGUCUAUUUCAUCCGCACAUUGUGGGAGGCAUACAAGGUGCACAAGGAUCCUCCUGUUCGUCCUUUGACGGAUUUCAUCCGCAACUUGCGGGAGGUAUAUGAGGUGCACAAGGAUUCUCCUGUUCGCGCUUUGAAUAAAAAGGAUAGUUCAGAUGGAGAUGAUGAGUAGGUUAGUAAAGAAAGGACUUCUUAAAUCAGGUUGAUGUAGUUCUUGCAUCAUUUGCCUGUGCAAUUGCUAAAGAAAAGAGAUCAUCUUGAAGCUUUCAAAGCCUUUGCAGUGCCCUUUUUAUUUUCCUGAUCUUCUUCAUCUGCAAAGCGCAGGAGGUACACAAGGAUUCACCUGUUCGCCCUUUGAAUAAAAAGGAUAGUUCAGAUGGAGAUGAUGAGAAGGUUAGACAAGGAUUUCUUAAAUCAGGUUGAUGUAGUUCUUGCAUCUUUUUCUUGUGCAAAUGCUGAAGAAAAGAGAUCAUCUUGAAGCUUUCAAAGUCUUUGCAGUGCCUUUUUUAUUUUCCUCUCUUUGAUUUUUUCAUCCACAAAGUGCAGGAGGUACAUGAGGAUUCUCCUGUUGGUUCUUUGAAUAAAGAGGAUAGUUCAGAUGGAAAUGACGAGAAGGUUAGUAAAGAAAGGAUUUCUUAAAUCAGGUUGAUGUAGUUCUUGCAUCGUUUUCCUAUGCAAUUGCUAAAGAAAAGAGAUCAUCUUGAAUCUUUCAAAGCCUUUGCAGUGCCCUCUUUAUUUUCCUCUCUUUGAUCUUUUUCUUCUGCAAAGUGCAGGAGGUACAGGAGGAUUCUCCUGUUCACCCUUUGAAUAAAGAGGAUCGUUCAGAUGGAGAUGAUGAGAGGGUUAGUAAAGAAAGGACUUCACCAAGAAAAGAUGAUUCGGACUAUUUUUUUUCAAUUUCUGAUGAAGAUGAGGAGUCUGUGGGGAACACCCUUUCUGACAACAUUUCAGAACCAGUGCACAAUGUUUCUCCCAAUGGAAGUUCCAGACUAAGAUCACCUCAUGGCAAAAGGGUGAGCUGUUGGGAAGAGGAUCAAAUGGAACUGUAUAUGAAGGCAUUAGCAAGUAUGAUUCCUUUGCUUUUCUCUUUGAUAAUUAGUAACAUUUUAUCUUUUGGUUGGUAUAAGGCGCAUUUAAACAAACAUGACAAAUGUUUAUCUAAUUGCUUAAAGUGCUUGAUCUUCAUAUUUGAAAUUGGAGUUCUAGCAUGACUGGUAUAAUGAACAGCAUCCAUGGUUAUUGAACACACUGAUGAAUAAAGAUCUAGUAUUUUAGAAAUCUCAUAAAUUUAGUUGUUUUCCAUUGUUUCACUGUAACUUUACUUGUUUGAAUAGCAUGCAAUUUCUCUUUUCCUUUUCCAGAAGAAUGGAUAUUGUAAUAAAUCAGCUUGUAAGAGCAAUGUGCUUUAGAAACUGUUAGUUGAUUGUAAAUUCAAAUGCCAAAAGCUAGAGAAAUAUCUUAAUGAUAUUGAUGAGAAUAACUCUUUUUCUUUCUUUUUCUCCUUUAUAUCAUUUUGGAGUGCAAGAAUUAUUUUAACUAUCUCUGGUUAAGGUGUCAUUCUUGAGAGAAUUUGCCUUUUUUGUUUUAUUUCUCUCUCAUGCUUCUCUAUUUCCACAGUGAUGGAUCCUUUUUUGCAAUAAAGGAGGUUUCUUUGUUAGAUCCAGGAAGCCAAGGCGAGGAGGGGUUGUUGCAGCUGAUAACUGGUUGUUUCUUUCUGUCUUGUCAACUGGUCGGCAUGACUGAUAGACUCACCUCUUUCUAAUAACUGCCAAGGUAAUAUAUAUAGCAAAAUUAUUAAGAAGACUGCCAUAUAUGCAACCAUAAAUCUGGUGGCAGUUCAAUAAUUUCUUUUGAGUCUUUCUUUCUAGUGAUACUCUUCUUUCUUUUCAGGAAAUUUCUCUUUUAAGUCAGUUUGAAAAUGAGAACAUAGUUCGAUAUCUCGGCACAGACAAGGUGUAGUCCUUCUUCUCAUGUUGCAUUUUGCUCUAUAUUUCACUUUGGAAUCGAUGAUGACAUCACCAGAACUGAGCAAAAUAUUUAGGGGAACAUGGCUGCGGUUGCAGCCACAAUACAGAGGUAGCAUCAUCACCACUGCAUGUAUUUGCUGUAAUUACCCUGGGAAUAAGAUCAAAGCAGUUUCGGCUUUUUAGCAGUAACAGCCACUAUGACAGACACAGAUACUUUAGGUCUCCCUCCCACCACAAGAAAAUUUCGUGAUAAAUUGACUAUUACCCGAAGUUGUUACUAUAUGAGUAAAGGAAAUAUGUGGGUAGACGUCAGUUUGUGGAAUCUCUCUCUCAAUGAAAGUUUUUUUAUUUUUAUUUCCUCCUUUCUAAGGAGAACCUGUCUUGAAAUCAAUUAACCCUUUGUUUAAUAGUUGUGGAUAAUUUGCAAAUUAGCUAUCUUGCAAACUAAAGAUAGAUCAAACUCUCAGGACUUAUAAAAAGGAAUCUGAGUCUUAGAGAAUGAUUUCUUGUCCCUGUUCAUCAGGGCCUUGUCUAGGGGCCUCUUGCCUUCGUACACCUGAUUGCUGUGGGAAGCGUGCAGUCAUGAUUUAAUGAUUAGAUAGGCAUUAUAAUAGGCUUUGAUAUCCAGCAUCAUUAGGAUAAAGAAAACAUAAACAUCACUGGGGUUUGUUUUGCUUUCUGGUAUGGUUGUCUAUGUGUCUGGUUAAUAUAUGCCAUAUCGUUUGUUUAUGGGUUUCGAUGGACCUUAUAUACAUAUAGUUUUCUUCCGGUUAAUAGCCUAAUCUUUUGGGUUCCAACAUAGAUUGGAAAUCAGAUUCUGCCCCAAUUUAUUUUCUCACUGCUCUGUUUUCAUCAAUUCCAAGUGCUGCUGUUUGUCCAGUUUGCAUGUGACAGAGGACGUUAAAGUAUUACACAUCGCUUGUCUAUGUAGUGUUUCAAUGUGCCGUACAUACUUUUAGUCUUCCUCCACUUAAUAGCUUAAGUUUUUUGGCUGGAUAUUCUGACUUAUAUAUUUUCUCUACGCUCUUCCAGGAUGAUAAGAAGCUUUAUGUAUUCCUUGAGCUCAUGACUGAAGGUUCACUUGCAACCCUUUAUCACAAAUACGAGUUGAGAGAUUCCCAAGUCUCCGAAUUCACUAGGCAAAUUUUAAAUGGUUUAAAGUAUCUUCAUGACCAGAAAGUGGUACACAGGUAUAAGAAAGAUGCUUGACUUUGCAUUAGUAGUUCUGACUAAUUGAAAGAGUGAUUCAUACUUCUCAUUCUGAUGGCAGGUUUAUUUUGGUAAGGAAAGUGCACACUGAAAUUUAUAUAAUUUGUUUCAUGGCACACUCCCUCGGUGCCUUUUGACAAUACUUCUGUUCCUUAUCCAAUUACGUUUUUGGAUUUAAGGGAGUUGUCAAAUCUUUGAACCAAAAUGUAGUGUUAUGAGAAGUAGAUUUCUUCGGAUAAUCAGCAAACAACAAAGUAACUUUAGUACAGGCAAGAUUAUUUUACUAUUUGAAUGCUUCAAGUUAUUUAUAUAUUUUACGCCCAACUAUUCUGUAGGGAUAUUAAAUGUGCUAACAUAUUGGUUCAUGCAAGUGGAUCUGUGAAGCUUGCAGACUUUGGACUGGCAAAGGUAUGUCUCCUCAGCGAAAGUGAUCUCUCUCUCUCCCCUCACCCCCUGCGCACGCCCGCGAGCACAAAGUCACAUGUACAGUACAUACACAAGCACAAGGUGCAUGCAAGGGCAACAAAAAAGAUGCAUGUACAAAUACAUUCACAUGCAGGAAUUUGUGCAGGCGUUGAAAUUUUGCGGCACACAUACAAAUGGAUUUGUACAUGACAACACACGUAUAGACAUGUGUUAUUAAUACAACUUUCUGUGACUAUUCAUUCAGGCCACCGAAAUGAAUGCUGCUAGAACCUCCAUAGGAAGUGCUUUUUGGAUGGCACCUGAGGUUUGCACCCUCUGCUGCCUUUUUUUAACAUACUAUCAUUAAGCCGUACCAGGUGGAUAUCUUUACCAUAUUUUGCUUCCUUGCAGGUCGUCAAUCCAAAGGUAAGAAGCUCUCAGUCGGACAGAAGCUAUGGGUUGGAAGUUGAUAUUUGGAGCCUGGGGUGCACUGUUUUAGAGAUGUUAACAUGCCAGCGUCCAUAUCCUAAAUUAGAUAUAGUAUGUAAUUAAGUAACCUUCCUUUUAUGUUCUAUCUCUUCGAGAUCCAUGUUAUGCCAGAAUUAGUAACUAAUCUCAACUUUUUUGUUACUGCUACUUAUUUUCUGAGUUAAAGCUAAGUUGACUGCAUGUUUGAUGAGUCCAUAAGGCUGUUGUUCUGAGAAAAUAAAAGAAGUAAGAGCACUAUGUAGAAAAGAGAGAGGACAGAGAAUUAUGACAUUAAUCAGGAGUAUGGUUGUGUCUAGGGAUUUGCAUAGUACUUAUGGGCAACGGUUGAGAUCCCGGAGCAAAUGGUUUUAUGGUUUGAAAACUCAGUUGUUUAUGUAAAUCUUAACACUCUCUUGUAAGUAAUUUGGCAUUGCUGUCUAAUACUUUUAAUUACUAGUAUAAGUGUACAUUGAGUGUGCGGUGGCAUGCAUUAAGAUAAUCACAUAUUUUACAUAUGUAAACAGUACUCCCCCAGUAGAUGUGGCGUACACAUGUAACCCUACCAUUCAGUCUCAGGAAUCUCUCCCCCUUCUCCUUCACUGUCACAUGGUACUUGAGCAACCAAGAGAGAUUGAAAUCCUAAUAUGGUCAUUGCCAUCUCUACUUCAGUCCUGAGAGCGGCACUGACAUUGAUUACUUUGUGUUAGUUGCUGCGUCCUUUACUGUGUGGUUUUCCUCUGAUCUGUCAUUUUCCAUUAUCACUCUCGGUGUUUCCCUCAUUGCCUUUGAGUAUCGAUCCUCCACUGCUCAUCUGAAUCAAAUGUUGACCUGGAUGAUUGUCUUCUCUACUAGGGUUAGUUACUUUGGAUAUGGAAGUUAGUAACUUCUCGAUUUGGUCGGUAGCUUUCAAAUAUUAUGACAAUUUUCAUGUCCUAUGUCAUGUUGGCAACUUCUCCAUACACGUAGUAAGUUUUCCAGCAAGGAUGGUAAUUACUGGCUAGAGCCAGUAAAUCACCUACUGAUGUUAUCCCUUUUUAGGGCAUGACAGCAUAGAAACGCCCCUGUUGACAGGAUGGCUGCUGCUGAAGUUUGGGUUGCUCUGGUCUUGUGAGUGAACUGUGAAGGUUGUGCUGCUUUUGUGCUUUUCUUAGGAUUUUGACUUUUACAAAAGGGGAGUGAACAUGCAACUAAUGCCCCCUUUCUUUUACCUUUUUGUUCAAUUCAGGACACUUUAGAAUCAUGGGCAAAAAUAAUAGAUACUUAUGUUUCAUUGGGUGUAGUUGGAAAAACAAACACGUUGUUGGUCUUUGUGAACUGUUAUGUAUCUAUCAUCCAUGUCUCCAACUAUGCAAUAACUGUGAUUCCAGAAUGAUCAAGACAGAUGAUUGCCUGAAGCAUGAUGCGCUUAGAUUUGCCUACAGAUCUUAUUGAUUUAUCCAGCUGGCAUAUGUUAGUCCCCCCUGGAUUUAAUAUUAACACUAGCCUCUGCUACAUUUUCUUUCUUCCCAUGUCAGCCGCAAGCAUUGUACAGAAUUGGCAGGGGUAAACUUCCUCCAGUUCCACAAUCUUUAUCAAGCAAUGCUCGAGACUUCAUCCUCAAAUGCUUGCAAAAAUACCCGGAGGAUCGGCCUUCGGCAGAGGAGUUGCUGGGCCAUCCCUUUGUGAGCAAGCCACCUACUACUGGUUUUGCUUCACCUCUUUUCAAUGACAAAUAGUCAUAAUGUUCUGCCAGGUCAUCCCUUUUCAAAUCAUCGCUCUAAAUGUAACUUUAUACUUUCCGUUUGUUACUUUGCCAUUGCAUUGCUAGCGGGAGUGUUCUUCUUUUGGGCUAGUACCUUCAUCGACUUACCGCAUUUCUUCUGUUUACUUCAAAAAAUUUGAAGUUGGAUCAAACAGUCUAUGUAUUUAUAGUGCCUAUGGUCCGUUUCCCAAUUCCCUAGCAAAUUUGUCACAUUCUACAGUUUUCACCAUAAGCUUUAUUUAUCCCCGGAUCGUCCUGAAACUUUGAAUUCAGUGAGUUGUCCAUAGUGGUUAAUUGAUACGCCAUAGGUUAAUUGGCCUUUCCAUAGGGGAGGGGUGUACGCAAUCGAUCUUCACACCAAGAAAAUGACCAUAGCUGCAGUGGUCCCUUAGAAUAAAUUAGAAUAUCGAAAUAUCGACAUGGAAGAUUUGGUAGGGUGUGUCACGCUCCGAAUCCCGUGAACAUCUCUUGACAGUCGAUUAAAUUGCGACGUUUCAAAACGCAUCGCCAACCCAUUCUUUUUAUCUUUUAAUUAAAUGCAUGCAUAAGCAAUUAAAAUAAACACUUAGUCAAUAAACAAACAACAAAGAUAAUAAAACACAACAUAUAUUACCGAAAACAACAUGUUUAUUUGUCCACUGUUACUCUUAGGAAGUUUAAUAAUUACAAACUUUUCUAUGGCCCCUUCCUAUCGACCUUCUAAAAAACUUUUAGGGAUAAGGGUUAACCUAAACUUCACUAACGGCAAGGCUAGCCAAAAUGGUGUCGCAUCUCGCAUCCACCACAACUGCAUUUGGUAGUUCUCCACGUUACGGCCUUGAAGAAGGUUAACAACAACGGAGUGAGAUAAAUCUCAGUGAGUUAACCACCUAAACCUCAAAUAGGACGCAAAUUUGUCUUGGAGGUAGCCUAAACAUGCAACGCAUACAAUCUUACCUCGCCUUGGCACAUCCCUACAUAUUAGUACAUCACAUAUGCCAUUAUAAAUACAAUGAGCAUAAUCAAUAAUCAGAAUACAUAACUCUUAUACACCAAGCAUCCACAAGGGUCCUGAUUAUAAGGUAAAACCUGUUUUGGCACGUCUCAUACCAUGCUUAACAGUUUUACCCCAUAAUCAAGCACAAUGCAUCACAAUCAUACGUGUUACAAUUAUUACAACCCCUCAAGCCACGGCCAACACACAAGUCUUCCGGCAUGACCGAGUAUCGUCCCGCCCCAUCGGGCACGGCAUCGUUUAGAACCUCUGCCUAGAUGGCAUUUCAUAAAGGAGCAUCGGUCUGGCCUCAAUCGCAACUUGGUAUUUGGACCCCCACCGGGCAUUCAAUAAACAUCGGGCAUCGUUCCCAAACUCCCAUUGGGUGAUGGGUUCAAUUAAAUGACCACACAAGCAUGCCAACACUCAAGCCAAUUUUUUUAUCUUUUGUUAAUUAGCCCAAUGUAAAAGAGUUUGUGCUUAAAUAACAAAUCUCAGAAAAUCUUUAUAUUUAAAAUUCCGGUAAAAUAAUCGCACGUGGUGCGUAUUUAAAAUCAACCCAUUAAACUUUGCACAUUUUUAUUUUAAAACAUCAUUGCCUCUUUUAUCAUGUAAAAUACGGCGUCCAAACACAACACCUCAAAGUUCACUAUUUUCUUAUCAAUAAACCAUCCUUGAAAAAUAGCAUUGAAAAUACAUGAUACGAGUAAUCAAACAUCAUGGCAUUACAUGCUCAAACGAUCAUAAUUAAGUGUAAAUUCAUCCAGUAAAGCAAGCAUAAAAUUUCACUUAACGGCUAAUUCGUCGUUAAUUACGCUAAUUUCGAUUAAUUAAGGUAAUCAUGAUUAAUUAAACUAAACUUAAUUAAUUAGCCUUACUAUACUUAAUUAAAAUUUAAUUGAAAUCAAUUAAAAUAAUAACGAUUAAUUAAUUUAAUAAUGAUUAAACAACUAAAUUAUGCUUAAUUAAAUAAAUCAUGAUUAAUUAAACUAAACUCAAUUAAUUAAUCUAACCAUGAUUAAUUAAUCUAAUCAUAAUUAUUUAAAUUAAUCACACUUAAAUUUAAUCUAAACCAUCUUUAAUCGCAAUUAAAGCUAAAUUAAAAUUUACAAAUAUUAAACAUCAUUACUAUUAAACUAACCACCCCUAUACGUAAUUAGCACCCUAAUCCAUGAUUAGGAAGUUAACUCACGGGUUUCCGAUGACAUGAGCUCGCGGCAACAGCGGCGUGACGGCGUCAAGAACGUGACGCUCGCGGCUCAAAUGGCGACCGUUCGUUGAAGUUGAGCUCAAGGCCAAGGGCGCUCGGUUUGGGCAGACGGUGUGUGACGGUGAGGAUGAGCGAGCGAUGACACGUGUGGCUCGACGGACGGGCGGCUCGACGGUGGAGAUGGUGCUGCAGGUGGUGGUGUUGGUGAAAAAAAUAAAUAAAAGAAGAAGAUGGUGAAGAAAAUGAAGAGGCUUGAGGCAAAAUGGAAGCAAAAGAUGAGGAGGGAGGAUCGGCAGAGAGGGGAGAGUGGUGGGGAAGAAAAAUGUGUGAGAGAAAAAGGGUGAAAGAGUGAGGGAGAGGAGAAAAAGAGAAGAAAGAGGGAAAGAAAAGAAGAAGAGAGGGGCCGAUUGGCUGGGGGUUGGCGUGAGGAGGAAGGGGGAGGGAAGAGAGAGAAAUAAUUUUAAAAAAAAAGGUGGAGAGGAAGUUGGGGGGAAAUUGUGGCAGAAAGGUUGGCGUGAGGGGAGGAAAAGUAGAUGGGAGGGAGAGAGAGAAAAACAAAAAAAAGAGAAAAAAAAAAGGGGAGGGGGAAAAUUGUGGCAGAAGGAGAGGGGGAAACGUGAGGGGAAGGAGAGGGAGAGAAAAGAAAGAGAGGAGAAAAGAGAGGGAGAGGAAAUUUCGUGAGGAGGGGGGAAGAAAACGUGAGGGGGAAGAGAAAGAGGAGAGAGAGAGAAAGAGUGAGAAAAGGAGAGAGAAUAAUAAUAUUAUUCUUAUUCUUAUUAUUUUUUUCUUUUCUCUUUUUUUUUUCCGAUCUCCGAUUUUUUAUCCGAUAAUUUCUUUUCCGAAAUUUAAGACUCGCCGAUAAUUCGACAAACGAUAAGACGAUGUCCAAUAAUUAAAUAUGGAAACCCUAAAAAAUGUGAUACCCAUAAUCGAAUUAAACUUCAUGGUUAAAAUCAAUCGAAUGCGACUUUAAUACAACAUAAUUUAUCAGGUGACUUUUAGGGGUUCUCGCGCAAUUGACCUGUGGUCAAUAAUUUUCGAUCCACGUUUGUACCUCUUUGAAUCCAGUAGGGAAUUAUUUAGGUGAUAUGAACAGUGACAAUGAAUAAUAAUUUUCUUAAUCUACUGCUAUAGUGACUACAGUGAUUCGCUACAGUGCUCUGCUACAGUCACCGGUCUUGUCUAUAAUCUGAGUCAUCAGAAUUAUGCAUUGCCAAAAGAUGUUCAUAUUUUUGCUCAAGUCCUAUAAGAAUUUGGUGAAAGAAUCUGGUUUGACGAGGAUGCUUCCUCUUGAUUCUAGGAGGAAGCCUAUAACAUCGGCAAGAAUGCUUGACUGAGGCCAAUUGGAUGAUUGAGCGUAGUAGGAUGUGUCCAUGCCUAGAAAUAAGAACAAAUGUCCUUGAUUAUAAGGGUCUUGGGAAAGAGGUCCUCCCCAUUAUGCAUAGGGAUCUUGAGAGGACUAUGCAGGAUCAUAUGUGUUUGUCAUUUCAUGUUCCUGUGAUGAUGUAGCUUGUUUGAAUUUCUCGAGUGCUUCCUUGGCUUUUGAUGUAAAGCUAUAAUGAUUCCAUGCAAUGGGUACAUUAUAGUUCCAUACAUAUUCAGGAAUGGUUUUAUUUUAUUGGCAUAAAACUCUCUAAAGUUCCCAGUAAUGGUAUUCACAGCAACCAACAGGUCCUAGAAAAAACUUGUAAAUCCAAGCUUUGGUGAGGUGCAAUUGGGGUUUAUAUGAUGUGGUUCCUAUAAUUUGCGGAGUAUCAGUGAUGCUGCCAUUAUUUUUUACAAAUGCCCAUGGUCAUUGGAAAAACAAAUAGUGUGGACCUUAGAUUUUAGUUGAGUGGUUCUCAAUUCUUGCUGCAAGAGCUGCCUUCAGCAAGUAGGAGGAUAAAACCCAAUUGAGGAAGGUUAAGAGAUUUUUGUCACUUUCCUUUUCGAUGUUUUGUCCGAGUCCGAAUAUCUUGGUGAGGUUGGCAAUGAAUCUUCUGAUUGGAAUUUUAAUAGCUAUUAAGUAUUUAUUGGUUAAGUAUCAUAAUAACUAUCGAAGUUGAUCAUAGAAAUUAUCUUCCUUCCAAAUGAGAUGAUAUAUGAACGGAUAGUCCGAAUUUAAUCCAAAAGGAUAAAUAAUUGAACCUCCAUUGAAUCUGAGUAGAUAUGUGUGGCAUUGCCACAUGAGGUUUUCUAGGUUUUCAGUGAGGCUAUCAUUCUAGACUUGUUCAACAAUCUCCUGGGGAUAUUGCCAGCUUGGCCAAUCUCGUAUUCUUUCAACCUUAUACUUUUCAUUGUGAUGAAGAAUAUGAAAAACACGCCUCACGAUGUACAUGUUGAUCUCUGCCAGUGCCUUUAGUCUUGACAAAAAGUCAGCAAGCAUGUUCUUCUUCCCGGCAAUAUGUUUGGUUUCAAAAAAGUAUUUUGAAAACCAUUCAACCUAUCAAAACAGUUGGGAAUUUGGAACCUACUUAUGUUUGAACUUGGUCAUCUGAGGAAAAGAUGCCAUAUCUAACUCUACUAGGAAGUGAUGACCGAUAAGAUGGAAUUCAAACUUUUUUAUCCCAUUAUUCACCGCUUAGAUUUCUUUAAAAGUAGAAUGAUAAUGCAUUUCAGCUUGAGAAAACUUUCUACUUUUGUAGGCACACAUGUGUCUCUUACCAUCAAUUUCUUCAAACAAAAUGGCUGCCUAGUAUUCAUCACUGGCGUCAGUUUGGAGAAUUCUCUUUCUUGUUGAUGGAAUUUGCAACGGAGGAAGAGUCUGCAUGAUCUCCUUAAGUUCAGCAACUACUUUGGUCUGAGACCUUCCCUAAGGUGGGGGAUUUUUCUUUAGCAUCGAUUGCAAUGGAAUUAAUAGUUUGGCAAUGUUUGGAACAAAGUUUCUGAGAUAAUUAAUUAUCCCAAGAAAUUGCUAAACUUGCUUUAUUGUAAAAUUUUCUUCAGGAAAUUUCAAUAAUUCCUGAGCAAUAUGUAGCCCUGGGUAGUAUGUACCUUUGUUAAGGUGCAUUUCAAGAAAUUCAAUUUCUGUUUAGGCAAUAUUCAUCUUUCUUUGAGAAAGCAUAAUCCCAUGUCUUUUCACAAUUUCUGCAAACUGCCUAAGAAGUUGGCAGUGAGAUUCUUCAUCGGGAUUGUAGAGCAAAAUAUCAUCAAUAUAUACUGCUGCACUAGAUAAAAUGGGUUGGAAAAUUCGACACAUGGGCCUUAUGAAAAAAGGACGAACCCACUUUUAGGCCAAAAUGAAGAACUUUCCAUUGGAAAUGUUUAUUCGAGAUACAAAACCCUGUUUUGGGCUCGUCUUCAUGAUGGAUGCUCAAUUGCCAAAAUCCGGCUUUAAGAUCAAACUUGGAACAUAUAUGGGCUUUUGAUAAUCCGGUAAAGAGGGAAUCUCUGGAAGGUAAAGAAAAUUUGUCAUCUGGAGAAAAAAGGUUAAGAGGCUGAUAGUUAAUUACCAGUCGCAUCUUUCUCUUGUUUUGCUUAGCAUGUUUAUUGACAUAAAAGGCUUCACAAGCUCAUUGGGAAUUAGAGAUUUCAAUAAGGUCUUGUUGCAGUAAUUCCAAGCAUUCCUUCUAAGCCAAAACUGGGUGUUCUAGCUUCAUAUCUAUGUGGCUCGCCUUGGUUGGAUUGAUGUCUUCAUUUUUCUUGAAGGGAAGGCGAACAAAAAAUUCCGGAUUUUUCCAUAAAGGAUGAGAACACUUUUGAGCGAAUUCAGAAUGAGAUUCUGAACAAGAUUCUAACAACUUCUGCAUGAUCGGAUCUACCAUAUUCAUUUAGAUGGAAAAAGGUAUUUGGAUGUUAACAAAUUCAGAGAAUUGGUUCUUAUACUUAAGACAUUUUCUAGGAAUGAUACGAAGUUGAGAAAUUUAAGUCAUGAUAUCCCAACCAAUGAUCAAAUCUUUGUUGGGGAGACUGGAUCCAAAGAUCUUUGUGGUUAUGGAACAUUGGGGAAAAAACUGGAUAGUUACUGGGGUGGUUCUUACAUUCGUAGAAAAAGUAUCCCCUGAAAUAGAAUUGAAAUAUCGAACAUAGGAAGUCCAAUAUUCUUCAGGAAGAACUUUUGUGUCUAAGAUUGAAAAACUUGCUCUAGUGUCUAUGAGAGUAAUGACAUUGAUAGGUUUGGCAAACUUUGAAGUAAAGAUUUUCACCGAAAAAUGAGGACAAUGAAUUUAGCUUGAAAAUAUGUCAGGGUUUUGUUCCGAAGAAGCGAUGGAUAUGUGAAAAAGAUCUUCAAAAUCUGAAUCUAAAUUACUCUCACUAGAAGUUUGGUAAUAAGAAAUGACACAAAGAGUUUGUUCGGAUGGUUCUUCAUCCGUAGAAAAUAAAGAUUAAAUAUAAUCAUUUUCGAGAGAAAUACUAGUUUCAAUCUCUAUACAAUGUAUCCGAUGAUUCUGACAUUUUCUUGCUUGGGGGCAAUUUUUGGCAAAAUGCCCCUUUUGGGUGCAGAUGAAGUAUCGACUUGAUUUAUUGUGGCCUAAGCGAUCUUUCCUUUUGCGUAGAUAUCACCAUUUCUUCUUUCUUUGGAAGUGCUUAGAUCCAUGUCUGGAUUUCUUUAUCCAGAGCUUCUUAAAGUGCUUCUUUUUCAUGGAAGAUUUUCCAUAUGAACCAUCACUCGUUUGGAGCAUUUGAUCUUAAGCUUUUGGCGAGAACAUGCCGCAUCGAGUUCUCUAUUGUCUGUGAGAUGAGUUUGGACCAUUUGACGUUUUAAACACAAGUCAUCAAGGCACAAAUGAAUUUCUUAUUGUAUCUCUUCCAACAAAAUAUUAGCAAUUCUCCUUUGUUUGUUGAGAAAAGAUCAAUGGCAUGACCAAAGUCAGGUGAAAGUAAAAAUUGAACCUGGUCUUGUUCUGUCACAGAUUGCCACCAAUGUUUGAGGCUUCCCGUAAACCUUGUGACAAAACCAAAAAUGACAUCAUACUCCUAAUUAGUAAGAGCUUAGACGUUUAACUAAGUAUGAAAUUCCUCAAAUCUUUUUGGCCAUUUGGAAUAGGGAAUAUCAUCAAUAGUAAAGAAUUAUUUAAAUGAAGUAGACACAUGGUGAGGAGGAUUGUUUGGCUGAACAACUUCUAGUUCAUAAGGGUUUGAUUCCAUAUACUAGUUUAGAGGAUCAGCCAUGAAUAUUGAUGAAGUUACUAGUGCAAUAAAAAAUGAAUCAAUGGUAGGGAUUGAGAAGGAUGAAGAGGAUGAGAGGGACACCGAAUCCGAUUCAAUAUCAAAGUUGUUUGGAAAAGCUAGUUCUAAUAGAAUUUGAUCUGUUGGAAUGACAAGAUCAGGUUAUUGAAAAGCAGAAUCAAACUGUUGAAUAGCAGGAUCAGGUUGUGGUUCCUAAUUGCCCAAAUCUCUUAAGAAAGAUUCUAACGAAUUCGAUAGCAUCAUUUGGUUUGGCUUUUCCUUUACAACAAGCGAGGAUUCUUCAAGCAUCUUCUCUUUUCCUUUUUAUUUCCUUAUUCGGUCUAAUUCUUUGAGACGAUUUCGCAUCUCUACCACAUUUGUCUUAUCUUGUCUGAUGGGAGCUUCUGUGAGAGUAGCAAAAAUUGACGUAUUCUAAGAUGGUGGAGGAGGUAGGUGCUCUGUCCGCACGGUGGUCGGAAAUAGGUUGGAGGGAUUGAAUCUUCCUUCUUCAAGGAGUUGGAUCUAUCUUUUAAGCUUUUCUAUUUUUGCCUUGGGGCCUUCAAGAUGAUAAUAUCCCAUAUGUUGUCCGAAUUCCAAGGCAUGAAGCCUCUUUUAGAAGUCCAAAAGCAUCUUUUUAAUGGUCUUAUCAUAUCUUCGAAGAUCUUGUUGCACAUUAACAAUCUUGGAGUCAAUUGCUUUGAAUGCAUUAUUGUAUGCUAAAAGAGUCUUCGAUUGCCAAUUCAGAAUUGCUUUAGCAACAAAAGUUCUUGUGACAUCUUGAAUUUUCAAUUAUGUUUUCCAUUAAAUUAAUCAAGCCUUUCAUCAAUGCGCCUAUAGUGAUAUUCUUGUAUUUCUUGUUAUUUUGAAUUUCUUGUAUUAAAAUUAAAAUAUUAUUUACAUUGAAUUAUAAUUUUAUUUUUAUUAAUUUAAGAAGUUUGUUAUUUAAGAAAAUAACUUUCUUAUUAUGGAUAUUAUAAAUUUUAUCUAUCAUUAUCCCACCUUCCUUUUAGGAUAAUUUUAUUCGAGCUAUAUUUCUAUUAUAUCCUACUUUAUCUUGUCUUGAGCCGGCAUUAUUUUAUUCGGGCUAUAUUUAUCUUCUAUCCUAAUUUUAUCCCGUCUUGAGCCGGCACCAAACACAGGUUAAAAUAUUCUAAAUUUUAUCCUAAUUACCAAACACAAUCAUAGGGUUUAUACUCGAUUUCCUAAUUCCCGUACACACUUUUCAUGUUUUUAUUGUCUACUCUAAUAUUUCCACCGGAUCAUCUUGAAACUUUUAAUUGAGUGAGUUACUCAUAGUGGUUAAUUUGUCCUUUGCUAGGCAAGAGGUAUGUGCAAUUGACCGUCAUGCCAUGAAAACAAUCUUAGUAGUAAUUCCCUUGGGAUAUAUAAGAAUCUAGGAAUAUCGACAUGAAAGUUUCGAUGGCAUGACAAUGACAAUGACACUCUAAGAACUCAUAGUAGACAAAUAUGCUUUGUAUUUGUUGAAAAUAUAAUACGUGGAAAUGACAAGAUCUUAUAAUUCAUGUCAACACAAAAAUCACCAAAAAGAUAAAUGAGAAAUAAUAAAGACAUUAGAGAUUUGCGUGGUUCGAUUCGAGUAUCGGUACCUACAUCUACGGGAGAGCCGAUCGCAAAUAAUCAACUGUAGUCGAAAAAUCAGAAUUUACAAUCGCUCAUACACUCGAGUGUUUUUUCACAUUUAGAUUUAAUCAUAAACCAAAAAUGUUUGUAAAUAAAAAACUCACUUGUACGUAAAUUUAUGGCAUAAAAUUACUGCACAUUCAAGCUCAAAAUAAAACGUUUUAUGUAGACCGAAACAAGAACUGGGGCGUCUGUCUUUUCUCCACGUACGUAUAGCUUCGUGUUCUCGUUUCAAGGCUUGUGCGGCUUCUUUGCUUUUUUGCGCGGCGCUCUCCUUUUCAAAAAGGAAAAAAAAAAUACCUAGACGGUUUUAUGUGUGCCAAAGUCAACACUUUAGACUUUGGGCCCCAUUGCUUCACCAAAUCCAACUCUCCAAUGAGGAUUCUUCUUCUGCAUUCUGAGAGUGCUAGUAUGAACACCUAGAGGGGGUGAAUAGAUGUAUAAAAUAAACCUUGGCAAAUAUAUGCGGAAUAAAAUAAACUUCGAGUAAAAUAAAAGAGUUAGGGAAGAGAAUAAGAACACAAGAUGUAUAGUGGUUCGGCUUAAUCCAAGCCUACGUCUACUCUCCCACGCUAACAGCCUUCUUGGCUGGAUUCGACUAUGCAAUCAACAAGAUAUUACAACUUUGAGUGCAAACACUUAGUAGUAGAUCACAUUAUCUCACUAAGUCACUCUUUUGGUAUUUCUCUCACGAUCACAAACAUUUAAGCUCUCCAAAGACAAGUGUAUGAUCGAAGGUCACUCAGACUUUGGAAUUAUAAAUUCUACGCUCUAUCUCUUACUUGCUCAUCGGUCCAUGAUCUCCUUAAAUACUCCUCCACUUCCAAACUACCCGUUGGACAGUAUCCUGGAGAAUCGUCUUCCAAUAUACCCAUUGGACAGCUCUGUAUCUAGAAGAUUUGGUAGCCGUUGAGUGACAAAGGUAGAAUCCCAAAUUGAUUCCAAUCGCCCAUACAAAUGAAAUCUUGGUUUCCAUAAGUAAAGCUUCUUCGUAUAGAAAGAUCUUGUCUUCAAGAUCCAAUUGUCAAUCAAAUAGAUUGAAUCAAUCGAAUCAAUCUUGAUGUGGAAUCCAAACCAGAUCACUAACCGUUAUAUGAUUGGGCUUGAGUUACGUCCUGUUGAGUCUGGAUGUAAAGUCUGAGAGCCAUAGACUUUACCAUCUGAGUCUGAGUGCGAUAGACUUUGCAAUCUGAGUCUGAACAUAUUCUGCUUCUGAACAGAUUUAGCUUUAAGGUCUGAACACCAUCUGAAUAAGUUCAGCUCUAACAUAGAGUAUGUCUUCUGGUUCAGCUUCAGCAUAGAGUCUAUCUUCUGGUUCAUCAUUCACGUUCGGUCUGGAAUUUGUCAGAGUGAGCAGACUUCUGAUGUAGAACAGACUUUGACACUAAAGUCUGGCAGUCUUCAGACUUUGACACAGAAGUCUGGAAAUCUUCAGAAUAUACUUUGGGCACAUGUUACGUUCAGUCUUCUGGUCGUCUUCACACUUUGACAAUAUCCUUUACAUGUUCUAUCAUCUGCAUGGUCUAUUACUUAACCAUUAAACAUGUUAGUAGCAUUUGAUUUAUUUUUUCAUCUUCAAAAUAUCAUAAGGGAUUUCCCUAACACCUUCUUCUGCACAUACGAGGAAAAAAAAAACCCUCACUUUUUUUUUAUCUUUAUUUUAUGUCUUCCUUUAUGCAGCUAUAAGGAGUCCAACAAAAAAAGAGUUUUUUCAUCUAAUUUAAAAUCUACGGAAAUCUUUUUUCAACAAAUUCAAUUUAACAAAUCAUUAUCCGAAUUCAUGUGUUUGAGCAUCAAAGAUGCAUGUACAAAUACAUGUGUUCUCGCAUUACAAACGCACAAUAGACACGCACAAAGUGAAGCAUGGUUACCUUUCCAAGAUAGCAUAUCAAUUUUCUCUGUUUUUUCGUUCAGGCCACUGAAAUGAAUGUGGCUAUAUCCUUCAAAGGAACUCAUUUGUGGCGCCUGAGGUUUGCACCUUCCGCUGCCAUUUUUUUUUUUUUAAAGCUGUCAUUUGCUGUAGAAGGCGCAUAUCAUUUCCAUUUCUUUUUCAUCCUCGUUGGUUGUGACUGCAGGUCUUCAAAAAUGUAAACAACGGAAGCUAUGGGUUGGUAGCUGAUAUCUGGAGCCUUGGGUACACUGUUUUAGAGAUGUUAACACGCGUGGGUCAAUAUUCUGACUUUGUGCUGGUAUGUAAUUAAGUAACUUAUCUUUCGAGAUCCAUGUUAUGGCAGAAUUACUAAAUAAGUUGAGCACAUGUUGUGAUGAGUCCACUAGGCUGUCAUUAAGAAAACAAAAUGAGUAAGGGCACUGCAUAGAAAAGAGAGAGGACAGAGAAUUCAAUGACGGUUACCAAGAUUAUGGUCGUGUAGAAAUAUAUUCAUAGUAUGUAUGGCCGAUGGUUGGUUGGGAUUCUGGAGCAAAUGUUGUAGCUAGCAUGGUAUGAAAACUCAGUUGAAUAUUUGAAUCUUGGCUCUCUCUUUUAAGCAAUUUGACAUUCUUAUCUAAUACUUUUAAUUACUACUACAAGUGCAAUUUGACAUUUAUCCUACUCAAAGCCAUCAUAAAUCGUGCAACUAACGCCCCAUUUCUUUUACUUUUUGGUUAGAUUAAGGACACUUGAGAAUUUUGAGCAAAAAGCAAUCGAUACUUUUGCUUUGUUAGCAGUAGUUGGAAAGCAUUCACUCAUUGGCCCUUGUGAGCUAUUACAUAUCAUCCACGUCUCCUACUUCUGUAGUAACCGUGAUUCCAGAAUGAUCAAUGCAAACGAUUGCCUGAAGCAUGAUGCCCUUCGAUUUGUCUACAGAUCUUAUUGAUUUAUCCAGCUGUCAUAUGUUAGUUGAUGUGGACAUCGAGUCAUAUCGAGGAGGAGGUGCUAGGGACCCAUUGUCUAUUCCUACUGGUUCGAUUACUCGAGCGCGGGCCAAACAAUUCAGGCAAGCUGUUGGCGUCAUGGUUCGUGAUCUUUGGCGUGAAGAUGACCUUGGAUCAAAUUCAAAUCUUGAAGAAUUUUGGAAAUCUUGGUGCAAUUUAAUUAUCUUGUCACCAAAUAAUUGACCAAGUCAAUUUAUAUAUAUUCUUGUUUAAGAAUAUUCUAGAAUAGGAAUAUUCUAGAAUAUGACGCAUUAGUUUUUUAGGGUUUGUGUGGCAGCCUAUAUAAAAGAUUUGCCAAAUUUCUUUGGGGACAGAUAUAUUUUAUUUUUGAGGAAAAGAAUUGAGAGGUUCUCUUUUAACUGUUCUUUUGAGGACUUGACCUAAUCAAGAUUCUCUUGUGGCGGUCAAUUCGACUUAUCGAGCGAUAUAGCGAAUUCUUUCACUCGUGGCGUCUAUAACGUUGGUUGGUUGACACGUGUUCGUCAACAGGUCACGUUCAUACCGAGGUUGCCAAUCACAGGUUUGAUUGGAGGUCGAGGUUUGCAAUUCGCACCAUUUGGGCCUUCGUAGAACGAUCAUUCCGCAACGAUUCACAUCAGUUUGGUAUCAGAGCCAGAUUCUACAAGGUCUAUUUAUCUUUAAUUUUCUGUUGAUAAUCAGUAAUUUGAGAUUUAUUGGGUUAGGGUUUCGGUUCUAGUUAAUUUAGGGAUCCGAUUGCUUUUGUGCUUCCAUACGUAGUUGUUUGCUGUUAGUUUUAAAUUUUCUUUUCUAGCAUCUUAAAUUGUAUCUGAGUUCGUCAAAAAAAAAAGAAAAAAAAGUAUAAAAAAAAAAAGAAGAGAAAGAAAACGCACAAAAAAAAAGUGUGCAAGAGAAAAAAAAAACAGAUUCGGCAAAAAAAAAAUUAGCCGAACAAAAAUAAAACAAAAUCAAGAAGGCGACUCGUUUGUUAGUAGACCAAAUUGAAACAAAAUCAGUAGUGAUUUGCGUUUCAAUUGGAAUUUCGAAAGUUGUACUUGUUGGUUUGAAAUUGUUACUUGCUGAAACAAAAUCAAUAGUGAUCUAAUCUUGUUUGAUUAGUUUGAUUGAUUGUUGUGAGGGGGUUGAGAGACAGGUUUUGAGUCCAAUAAAGAGCUUGUGAAAAGAGAAUACAAGAGGAAAAAGGCAAGAGUGUGUAAGCUUAAUUGAGGGUGGAAAAAGCCUAGACUUGAGUUAAACACGAGAGGAGCGACAAAUAUCUCGAGAGAAACACGUGAGGGAGCGAUUGGUGAGGAUUUUUUUUUAGACUAACGUUUACUUGCAGGUCUAAAAUAUGUCACGCGAAGAAAGCGUGAAUCAACGGGAGGUUGACUCCAUACGAAGAGAUGAAGCGCUCGUGGAAAGCAUCCAGCAAUUGAGGGUCGUAGUGGAGGAGCUUAGUGGCCGAAUGAUGAGGAAUGACAUGAGGGUUGAUGGUGACCGAGAGAUACCCCGAGGAAGGCCGCAACAUAGCGAGAUGCCUCUAGAACACAACAUAGAAGGCAACGGCAAUAUGAUGAUGAUGAGGCCGACAUGGAGGAUGAUCGAGAUGCUCGAUUUGAAAGGUGGAAUGGAGGCCGAAGGUUUAGACACCGAGGAGAUGAUGAACUUGGCAACAUCAAGAUGAAGAUUCCUUCCUUCCAAGGGAAGAAUGAUCCCGAUGCGUAUCUAGAGUGGGAGAAACGCAUGGAGAUGGUAUUUGAUUGCCAACGAUACUCUGAGCUCAAAAGAUAAAAAUUGCAGUUGUUGAAUUUACUGAUUAUGCUAUAAUUUGGUGGGAUCAACUUGUGACUAGUAGGAGGUGCAAUGGUGAAAGACCGAUAGAGACGUGGGAUGAGAUGAAAGCGGUGAUGAGGAGGCGUUUUGUGCCAAGUCAUUACCAUCGAGAUUUGUUUCAAAAGUUACAAAACCUCACACAAGGAAAUAAGAGCGUGGAAGAGUAUCACAAGGAGAUGGAGAUUGCCAUGAUCCGUGCUAAUGUGAUGGAGGAUCGUGAGGCCACAAUGUCAAGAUUUUUGAGUGGUUUGAACCGAGACAUAGCAAGGGUGGUAGAGCUACAACACUAUGUUGAAUUGGAAGAAUUGGUGGACAAAGCCAUCAAAGUUGAGCGGCAAUUGAAGUUGGAUCGAAAUCACAAGAGUGGAGGAGGUUCAAAUCAGAAUUGGAGAUCCAAUUGGAAGAGAGAUGAGAAGCCGAAUUGGAGAGGAAACAACACAAAAACCGAAACUUCAAAGGAGAAGGAGAGGGACGGUAAAGUUGGAAUGAAUCCGGCUUCAGGUAAAAUCGAAACCCUAACACUAGAACUUGUGAGAUUAAAUAUUUUAAGUAUUUGGGCAAGGGUCAUAUGGCGAAUCAAUGCCAUAAUAGGAGGGUGAUGAUCAUGACUGGACAUGGUGUUAUUGAGUCCGAAAGUAAAAGGGAAGAAGAGGAUGAUGAGAUGCCAUCGUUAAAAAAUUGUAGUGAUUGAGAAAUAGCUAUAAAAGGAGACUUAUUGGUGGUUAGGCGUUCUCUUAGUGUACAAGUAAAGGAGGAGGAGCAUCAUCAACAAAGAGAUAACUUAUUUCAUACAAGAUGUGUGGUGAAUGGUAAGAUCUGUAUUUUGAUAAUUGAUGGAGGUAGUUGUGCAAAUGUGGCAAGUUGUAUUAUGGUGGAUAAGUUGGGUUUGAAGACGACAAAGCACCCUAGGCCUUAUAGAUUUCAAUGAUUAAAUAAUAGUGGAGAGGUGAAAAUGUUGAAACAAGUUCGAAUCCCAUUUGAGAUAGGGAGAUACAAGAACGAGCUAGAGUGCGAUGUUGUACUUAUGCAAGCGGGUCAUAUUUUACUUGGAAGACCAUGGCAAUAUGAUCGAAAGGUACAUCAUGAUGGGUAUACUAAUCGUUAUUCAUUGGUGAUAAGUCAAAAGACUUAUCAAUGAUACCAAUGNNNNNNNNNNNNNNNNNNNNNNNNNNNNNNNNNNNNNNNNNNNNNNNNNNNNNNNNNNNNNNNNNNNNNNNNNNNNNNNNNNNNNNNNNNNNNNNNNNNNNNNNNNNNNNNNNNNNNNNNNNNNNNNNNNNNNNNNNNNNNNNNNNNNNNNNNNNNNNNNNNNNNNNNNNNNNNNNNNNNNNNNNNNNNNNNNNAUCAAGUGAAGUAAGGAGAGCUUUAGUUCUAGAUCGACCAAUGCUUGUACUUGUGUACAAUGAGAUUUUAUUUUCUACUAACGAUCUUGACCCAAGUUUGCCUAGUCCUGUUGUAUCUUUAUUGCAGGAAUUUGAAGAUGUCUUUCCUGAUGAACUUCCUGGAGGGAUACCACCGAUUCGAGGCAUAGAACAUCAAAUUGACUUGAUUCCUGGUGCGCCAUUACCUAAUCGACCCGCAUAUCGAAGCAAUCUCAAGGAGACAAAGGAACUUCAGCGGCAAGUUAGCGAAUUAUUGGAACGGGGUAUGUGAGAGAGAGUCUUAACCCGUGCGCCGUCCCUGUUUUGUUAGUGCCAAAGAAGGAUGGAACUUGGCGAAUGUGUGUCGAUUGCCGAGUAAUCAAUAAUAUUACGGUAAAGUAUCGACAUCUUAUUCCUAGGUUAGAUGACAUGUUGGAUGAGUUGCAUGGUUCUUGCGUUUUCACUAAGAUUGAUUUGAAAAGUGGCUAUCAUCAAAUUAGGAUGAAAGAAGGUGAUGAAUGGAAAACUGCAUUUAAGACCAAGUAUGGAUUAUAUGAGUAGUUAGUAAUGCCAUUUGGAUUAACUAAUGCACCGAGCACGUUUAUGAGACUUAUGAAUCAUGUUUUGCGUGCUUUUAUUGGUCGAUUUGUGGUUGUCUAUUUCGAUGACAUCUUAAUUUAUAGCCGAAGUCCUGAUGACCAUAUUGAGCAUGUGCGAGUUGUCUUGCAGGUUUUNNNNNNNNNNNNNNNNNNNNNNNNNNNNNNNNNNNNNNNNNNNNNNNNNNNNNNNNNNNNNNNNNNNNNNNNNNNNNNNNNNNNNNNNNNNNNNNNNNNNNNNNNNNNNNNNNNNNNNNNNNNNNNNNNNNNNNNNNNNNNNNNNNNNNNNNNNNNNNNNNNNNNNNNNNNNNNNNNNNNNNNNNNNNNNNNNNNNNNNNNNNNNNNNNNNNNNNNNNNNNNNNNNNNNNNNNNNNNNNNNNNNNNNNNNNNNNNNNNNNNNNNNNNNNNNNNNNNNNNNNNNNNNNNNNNNNNNNNNNNNNNNNNNNNNNNNNNNNNNNNNNNNNNNNNNNNNNNNNNNNNNNNNNNNNNNNNNNNNNNNNNNNNNNNNNNNNNNNNNNNNNNNNNNNNNNNNNNNNNNNNNNNNNNNNNNNNNNNNNNNNNNNNNNNNNNNNNNNNNNNNNNNNNNNNNNNNNNNNNNNNNNNNNNNNNNNNNNNNNNNNNNNNNNNNNNNNNNNNNNNNNNNNNNNNNNNNNNNNNNNNNNNNNNNNNNNNNNNNNNNNNNNNNNNNNNNNNNNNNNNNNNNNNNNNNNNNNNNNNNNNNNNNNNNNNNNNNNNNNNNNNNNNNNNNNNNNNNNNNNNNNNNNNNNNNNNNNNNNNNNNNNNNNNNNNNNNNNNNNNNNNNNNNNNNNNNNNNNNNNNNNNNNNNNNNNNNNNNNNNNNNNNNNNNNNNNNNNNNNNNNNNNNNNNNNNNNNNNNNNNNNNNNNNNNNNNNNNNNNNNNNNNNNNNNNNNNNNNNNNNNNNNNNNNNNNNNNNNNNNNNNNNNNNNNNNNNNNNNNNNNNNNNNNNNNNNNNNNNNNNNNNNNNNNNNNNNNNNNNNNNNNNNNNNNNNNNNNNNNNNNNNNNNNNNNNNNNNNNNNNNNNNNNNNNNNNNNNNNNNNNNNNNNNNNNNNNNNNNNNNNNNNNNNNNNNNNNNNNNNNNNNNNNNNNNNNNNNNNNNNNNNNNNNNNNNNNNNNNNNNNNNNNNNNNNNNNNNNNNNNNNNNNNNNNNNNNNNNNNNNNNNNNNNNNNNNNNNNNNNNNNNNNNNNNNNNNNNNNNNNNNNNNNNNNNNNNNNNNNNNNNNNNNNNNNNNNNNNNNNNNNNNNNNNNNNNNNNNNNNNNNNNNNNNNNNNNNNNNNNNNNNNNNNNNNNNNNNNNNNNNNNNNNNNNNNNNNNNNNNNNNNNNNNNNNNNNNNNNNNNNNNNNNNNNNNNNNNNNNNNNNNNNNNNNNNNNNNNNNNNNNNNNNNNNNNNNNNNNNNNNNNNNNNNNNNNNNNNNNNNNNNNNNNNNNNNNNNNNNNNNNNNNNNNNNNNNNNNNNNNNNNNNNNNNNNNNNNNNNNNNNNNNNNNNNNNNNNNNNNNNNNNNNNNNNNNNNNNNNNNNNNNNNNNNNNNNNNNNNNNNNNNNNNNNNNNNNNNNNNNNNNNNNNNNNNNNNNNNNNNNNNNNNNNNNNNNNNNNNNNNNNNNNNNNNNNNNNNNNNNNNNNNNNNNNNNNNNNNNNNNNNNNNNNNNNNNNNNNNNNNNNNNNNNNNNNNNNNNNNNNNNNNNNNNNNNNNNNNNNNNNNNNNNNNNNNNNNNNNNNNNNNNNNNNNNNNNNNNNNNNNNNNNNNNNNNNNNNNNNNNNNNNNNNNNNNNNNNNNNNNNNNNNNNNNNNNNNNNNNNNNNNNNNNNNNNNNNNNNNNNNNNNNNNNNNNNNNNNNNNNNNNNNNNNNNNNNNNNNNNNNNNNNNNNNNNNNNNNNNNNNNNNNNNNNNNNNNNNNNNNNNNNNNNNNNNNNNNNNNNNNNNNNNNNNNNNNNNNNNNNNNNNNNNNNNNNNNNNNNNNNNNNNNNNNNNNNNNNNNNNNNNNNNNNNNNNNNNNNNNNNNNNNNNNNNNNNNNNNNNNNNNNNNNNNNNNNNNNNNNNNNNNNNNNNNNNNNNNNNNNNNNNNNNNNNNNNNNNNNNNNNNNNNNNNNNNNNNNNNNNNNNNNNNNNNNNNNNNNNNNNNNNNNNNNNNNNNNNNNNNNNNNNNNNNNNNNNNNNNNNNNNNNNNNNNNNNNNNNNNNNNNNNNNNNNNNNNNNNNNNNNNNNNNNNNNNNNNNNNNNNNNNNNNNNNNNNNNNNNNNNNNNNNNNNNNNNNNNNNNNNNNNNNNNNNNNNNNNNNNNNNNNNNNNNNNNNNNNNNNNNNNNNNNNNNNNNNNNNNNNNNNNNNNNNNNNNNNNNNNNNNNNNNNNNNNNNNNNNNNNNNNNNNNNNNNNNNNNNNNNNNNNNNNNNNNNNNNNNNNNNNNNNNNNNNNNNNNNNNNNNNNNNNGUGGUAGCCGAUGCACUUUCUCGAAGGUAUGCGAUUCUAACUAUUUUAGAAGCAAAGUGUCUAGGUUUUGAGCAUAUCAAGGGCUUAUAUAUUGAUGAUGAUGACUUUGGGAGAGUCUAUGAAGCAUGUGAACACGCUGCAUUUGAUAAAUUUUAUAGGCAUGAAGGUUAUCUUUUUCAUGAAAACAAACUAUGUUUGCCUAAGUGUUCUUUGCGUGACUUGUUGGUGCGAGAAGCGCAUAGUGGUGGUUUAAUGGGGCAUUUUGGCAUUAAUAAGACUUAUGAAGUGCUGUAUGAACAUUUUUAUUGGCCACAUAUGAAGAGAGAUGUCACACAUGUUUGUGAGAGAUGCAUUGCUUGUAAGCAAUCGAAGUCUACAACUAAACCGCAUGGCUUGUAUACACCAUUACCUAUUCCAACGCAUCCUUGGAUUGAUAUUUCUAUGGAUUUUGUGUUAGGAUUGCCUAGGUCUAAGUAUGGUAGAAAUUCUAUUUAUGUGGUUGUUGAUCGGUUUUCAAAGAUGGCUCAUUUUAUACCUUGUCAUAAAACCGAUGAUGCAUCUCAUAUUGCUAAUUUGUUCUUUAAGGAGGUUGUACGUUUGCAUGGCAUGCCUAGAUCGAUUGUUUUAGAUCGAGAUUCUAAAUUUCUUAGCUACUUUUGGAAAACAUUGUGGAAAAACUAGGAACACGGUUGUUAUUUUCUACUACUUGUCAUCCACAGACCGAUGGUCAAACCGAGGUAGUUAAUAGAACUUUAGGGGUAUUGUUGUGUGCUAUUAUUAAAAAGAACAUAAAAUCUUGGGAAGAUUGUCUACCACAUGUUGAAUUUGCAUAUAAUAGGAGCAUGCAUUUUGCUACUAAAUUUACACCAUUUGAGGUUGUCUAUGGUUUUAAUCCAUUAACUCCGUUAGAUUUAACCCCUUUACCUGUUGAUAAGCGUGUGGAUUUAGAUGGAGCAAAGAAAGCUGAAUUUGUCAAGGCGUUGCAUGAGAAGACGCGCACAAAUAUUGAGCGCAAGACUGAGCAAUAUGCAAGGCAAGCUAACAAAGGGCGCUAGGAAGUGAUGUUUGAACCUGGCGAUUGGGUUUAGGUUCAUAUGCGCAAAGAGAGAUUUUCUGAGCAGCGACAUUCUAAGUUAUUACCGCGAGGGGAUGGACCAUUCAUGGUUUUGGAAAGACUUAACAAUAAUGCCUACAAGCUUGAUCUUCCAAGUAAGUAUGACGUUAGUGCCACAUUUAAUGUUUCUGACUUGACUCUUUUUGAUGCCAGUGAUGAUUUGAGGACAAAUCCUUUACACGGGGGAGGGAAUGAUGUGGACAUCGAGUCAUAUCGAGGAGGAGGUGCUAGGGACCCAUUGUCUAUUCCUACUGGUUCGAUUACUUGAGCGCGGGCCAAACAAUUCAAGCAAGCUAUUGGCGUCAUGGUUCGUGAUCUUUGGUGUGAAGAUGACCUUGAAUCAAAUUCAAAUCUUGAAGAAUUUUGGAAAUCUUGGUGCAAUUUAAUUAUCUUGUCAUCAAAUAAUUGACCAAGUCAAUUUAUAUAUAUUCUUGUUUAAGAAUAAUAUUCUAGAAUAGGAAUAUUCUAGAAUAUGACGCAUUAGAUAUAUAUUCUUGUUUAAGAAUAUUCUAGAAUAGGAAUAUUCUAGAAUAUGACGCAUUAGUUUUUUAGGGUUUGUGUGGCAGCCUAUAUAAAGGAUUUGCCAAAUUUCUUUGGGGACAAAUAUAUUUUAUUUUUGAGGAAAAGAAUUGAGAGGUUCUCUUUUAACUGUUCUUUUGAGGACUUGACCUAAUCAAGAUUCUCUUGUGGCGGUCAAUUCGACUUAUCGAGCGAUAUAGCGAAUUCUUUCGCUCGUGGCGUCUAUAACGUUGGUUGAUUGACACGUGUUCGUCAACAUGUCACGUUCAUACCGAGGUUGCCAAUCACAGGUUUGAUUGGAGGUCGAGGUUUGCAAUUCGCACCAUUUGGGCCUUCGUAGAAUGAUCCUUCCGCAACGAUUCACAUCAUUAGUGCCCCCUGGAUUUGUGAUUAACACUAGCGUCUCCUAUGCUUUUGUUCUUAGUGCGGUAGGAGCAACCGUUGGUGAAAAUUAGCAAGGGCAAAUCUCCUCCACUUCUGAAAUCUUUAUCAAAAGACGCUCGAGACUUCAUCUGCAGAUGCUUGAGACAAAAUCCGAAGAAUCGGCCUUCUGCAGCUCAGUUGCUAGAUCAUCCCUUUGUGAAGAAGUGAGGAAGCCACCUACUUCUGGUUUUGCUUGACCUUGUUACAAAAACAAAGACAUGAGGACCCCUGGAAUGCCAUAACUUGGCAGAAAGGAAUAAGUGUCAUAACUUACGAAAGGUACGCUUAAGUCAAAAUCGGAGUAAAAGAGAUCACUUGAGUGCCAAUUUGGCCAAAGUCCGGCCAAAACGCCGAUGUGGCAUUUUUCCGACGAAGCGAGCCCAAAACGACGCCGUUUUGCUCGUUAACGUGGCCAAAUAAUGCAAAAACGACGUCAUUUUGGGAUAACGUGACGUGAUAAUAUUAUAUAAGGCACGUUGAAAACACAGGGUUAAUUUUUUUUUUUGUCAGUUUUGUUUUUUUAUAAUUGUUUUAGUUUUUUUAAAAGUCUUUUACUAUGAAAGAAGUAAUACAAAAAUGCUAUAUAUAAUAAAUAAAUAAAUAUAAAAAUAUCAUUUCAGCAUUUUUCUUUAAACAAUGUUUUAUUCCUCUAAGUUUGAUGUAUUAUUGUAAAAAAUUAAAUAAUGAAUGAUAUUAUUUAAUAUUUUUCGUGUAAAUUAAUUCUAGGCUAUUUUUAUUAUUAUUUAUUUAUGUAUUUAUAUAUUUAAUAUAUAACGUGUCGGAACGUGUCGAAAUUCUCUAUUUUUAAGAAAUAAGGUGUCGACGUGUCGUGUCAUGUCGUGUCGCGUGUCCGUGUCGGUGCUACAUAGCCGGCAACAGCAGGGGGAGGGUCGGCUGAGGUCACCAAGCCCUGGCCAGGGGCCGACGACCCCAGUCGACCGACGGCGAGGGCUCACGAACCCUCGCCCCGGACCGAGCGAGGGUCACAGCCCUUGCCCAAAUCCGGCGAGGCUCGGUGGCCCUUGGCCCAACCCGGCGAGGGCCGCCGACCCUCGCCGGANNNNNNNNNNNNNNNNNNNNNNNNNNNNNNNNNNNNNNNNNNNNNNNNNNNNNNNNNNNNNNNNNNNNNNNNNNNNNNNNNNNNNNNNNNNNNNNNNNNNCCCCCCCCCCCCCUUUCCUUUUUUAAAAAUUUAUAUUUUUAAAAUUAUUAUUUGUUAAUUAUUUUAACUAAUUUUUAAAUUUAAAUUUAAUUAAUUUUUAUAUUUUUUUUUACUAGAUCAGCACAAAACGAUGCCAUUUUUGCAUUUAUUUGGCCACGUCAAUGUGCAAAACGGCGUCGUUUUGGGCUCGCUACAUCGGAAAAAUGCCAUGUCGGUGUUUUGGCCAGAGUUUGACCGGAGUGGCACUUUAAGUGAUUCGUUUUUCUUCGAAUGUAACACUUAAAUGUACAUUUCGUAAAUUAUAUUUUUUUUCGAAUGUAGCACUUAAGUGUACAUUUCGUAAAUUAUGGCACUUAAGUGUUCCUUUGUGCCAAGUUAUGGCACUUGAAGCAUUCUUUUGCCCAAAAACAAAUUGUCAUAAGGUUUUGCCAUGCCAUCCCUUUUCGGUUCAUAGCUCUAAAGGUCUUCUUUUGGGCAAAUGGGGAGAAACCUUCAUCAACUUACCACAUUUGUACUGUUUUACUCCAAAAAUUCAUGACGCUAAUGGUCUACUUUAAACUUUUAAAUUGGAGCAAACGGUCCAUGUAUUUAUAGUGUCUAUGGUCCGUUUCCCAAUUCCCUAACAAACUUGUCACGUUCUACAGUUUUGUCCCUAAGUUUUAAUCAUUCCACUAGGUUGUUCUGAAACUUUCCAUUGUGGUUAAUCAGUACAAGAUGGGUUAAUUGGCAUUUCCAAAGGGGAGAGGUGUGUCUGAUUGAUUGUCAUGCCAUGAAAACAACCGUAGUUGCAGUUUCCCUUGGCAUAUAUAAGAAUCUAGGAGUAUCAACAUGAAAGUUUCGGUAGUGUGACGGUGACGUGACACUCUGAGAAACCAAAGUGGACCGAUAUGCUUUGUCCUUCCUGCAGUCGUCGAACCUCCUCGCAAAGUUGCCUCAUGCCUUGAGAGUACUUUCAUUGGAUGCUGAACGGAAACCCCAGACAAACUCAGGGAGCAACUUAAUCGAAUGGCCUUGUCUUCUUUUGUGGGUGGGUGUCUUUUAGAAGAGUGUUGUCUCCCAAAAACGAAUGGUCUCAUGUUUUAAAGCAUCGGGAUGGACAUGACGGUUGACUUAUAAGAUUUUUUUCAUGUUGCCUAUUGACUUUUCUUAGGCACCUUGAUAGUGUCAAAAUUCUUGAUUUUUAGAUCCCUCCUUUUGUUGAUUGAUUGCAAACCAAGUCGUUCGGGCGAAAGAGUUUAACUCAGUUACGCACAGAAAAAACCCAUGAUUGGAUCAUUCUGGUCAGGCUCCAAAUGAUGCCAAGUCCUUUGCUUCUCUCUGAUAAUCAUUCGGAUAGGAAAAACAGAAGGGAUAUAUGCAUAGAUACUUGUCACCAUAAACCGAUGAAUGGAUCAUUUAUGGGUCAGGUUCGUUGUGCCCGCGUCCAAUCUUUAUCAGGGCAUCGCCGCUAUGUUAAUGGUGUUCCCACAAGAAUGAAGAGAAAAAUGGAUCUGUAGCACGGUAGUUACUCUUACUAUGUCUUUGAGUUUCAUUUUUUUGAGGAAAAUUCCAGGCCUAGAUCACCUUUUUGCAGGUAUACAAUACAGAUGUUCUGUCAUAGAGUAAGAAUAAAUGUCAACUCUUAUUCAAUGCGAGAAUAAGCCAAAUAGUCGUUUCCCUAGCAAAAUUGUGUGGAGCUCCCGAGAAACUCCUAAGGGAAAAAAGUCAAUUACGCCCGCUUGACUUGUGUCUUCUAUGUUGGCGAAGAGAGGAAACCAUAUCCACCCGAUCCUGCAGAAGAGAAAAAAGAUCAUCUUGAAGCUUUCAAAGCCUUUGCAAGUGCCCCAUUAUUUGUUUUCCUGAAGUACGUCUAGUUUGUAAACGUUGGGCAAUGGAGAUUGCUGGGGAAGGAAUUGGGGGAUUGAGGCCUCCGGUCCUUACCCCGCCGCCAGUUAAGUUGCCGCCUGUUGUUGUGGACAACGUUAGUUCCACUUGGGAUCUGUUGUACUCAUUAGGUCCUCAAGGAUACGAGGAUUUUCCUGUUCACCCUUUGAAUAUAGAGGAUUUGUGGGGUGGAGACGACGGGAAGUCUAGCGAUGGAAGCACUUCGCAAAGUCAGGAUGAUUGGCACUCUUGUGUGUCCACUUCUCUUACAGAUGAGGAGCGUGAUGAUGAGGAUGAUGUGGAAAUCACCCUUUCCGCCGGUGGGAGUUUCAGACGAAGGAUCGUCCAAUGGGAGAAGGGCGAUUAUUUGGGAUGCGGAUCGUACGGAAGUGUCUAUGAAGGCAUCCUCGAGUAAGAUUCGUUUGCUUUUCUCUUUGAUAAUCGGUAAGUUAUUCUCGCUAUACGCAUUUUCUGGGGGAAAGCGCAACUGCUGAUCUCCGUCGUGAUAUCAUUUUGAAGUUUUGACGGCUGCUGUGGUUACAAUUGGCAACAUUUGGGCUAGUCAUCCGUAUGCAGUAGAACAUGUUAUCCGCAUUUAAACAGACAUGACAAGCGAUUAUCCAAUUGCCAGAAGUGCCUGAUUUUCAUCUUUCGAAUUGGAGCUCUAGCAUGAUUGGUACUUAAUGAAGACCGUUCUUGAUUAUUGAACAGAUCGAUGAAGUAAAGAUCUAAUAUUUCAAAAUAUGUUUAGUUGCUCUCCAUUGUUUUCUGUAACUUUACUAGUGCUAUUUUUUUCUUCUUUUUUUCCUUCUGAUGAAUGGAUAGCGUGACAAAUCAGUAUGUCAGGAAAUGUGCUUUAGAAAAUUCUAAAUUCAAAUGCUGAAAGCUAAGGAACUUUUUUUUUUAGUGAUAUUGAUGAGAAUAGCUCCUUUCUCUUCUCUUUUUCUUUUUAAGAAUUGGUAUUUAUUUAUUUUCUAUUUCUCUCUCUCACGCUUCUCUGUUUCCACAGGGAUGGAUUCUUUUUUGCUAUAAAGGAGGUUUUUUUGUUAGAUCAAGGAAGCCAAGGCAAGCAGAGCAUAUUGCAGCUUGAGCAGGUACUGACUGUUUCUUUCUGUAUCUUGUGAACUGACCCUUAGGCAUAACCACUCGACUAACCUCGUUCUAAUAACUGCCAAGUUGAUCUAUAUGCUAAAUUAUUUAUAAGACUGCCGUAUAUACCACCAUAAAUCUGGUGUAAGUUCAAUGGAUUUUCUUUUCUCUUUUUAGUGAUACCCUGCAUUCUUUUCAGGAAAUUUCUCUUUUACGUCAGUUUGAACACAAGAACAUAGUUCGAUACCUCGGCACACAAAAGGUGCGGUUCCUUCUUCCUAAGUUGCUUUCAACAGUAUGUUUCACUGUGGCAUCAAUUAUGUUAUCGCUGAGCAAAAACAAUAUAGUGGUAGCAUCAUAAUCACUGCAUAUAUUAGCUGCAAUUAUCCUGUGAAUAAGAUCACAGCAGUUGCAGGUUUUUAGCUGUUGCAGCCUCUUGUGACAGAGACAGACAUAUUAGGUCCCCCUCCCACCAAAAGUAAAAGUUCACGAUGAAUUGACUAUUACCCGCAAUAGUAAUUAUAUGAGUAAAGAAAAUAUGUAGAGUAGACGUAAGUUUAUAAAGUCUCUUUCUUUCUCUCUCUCUCACUCUCUCACUCUCUCUCACAAUGAAAGUAAAUUUUUUUCCUCCCUUUUAAAGAGAGCCUGUCUCGUAAUCAAUUAACCCCUUUGUUUUCUGGAGGUGGAUGAUUUACAAAAUAGCUAUCCUGCAAACUGAAGAUUCAGGUCAAACUCUCAGGCUUAAUAAAAAGGAAUCUAGCGCUUAGAGAAAGGGCAGCCUCGACUAAUAAAACAAGGGGGAAAAGGAUAAGAAAGAGAAGUCAUUUAACCUUCAGGUAUCCUCUGACGGUCCAGAUGACUAAUUUCCAACCAUUUCUCCAUUGUCUAUAACUUCUGAUUCACUGCUUUGGAUACUGAGUUCUCACGUCUUUAAAACACGUUACACAGAUUAAAAAGACCAAAGUCUUAUAAACUAGCUCACCCCCUAAGCGAUGUGGGACUAGAGAGGGAACCUUAUCCCUUCCAUGCACACGUCCAGGACCGAGGCGCGGACGCACCGCCGCUUGAGCCGGAUCCUUACAAAUGGUAUCAAAGCCGACUCCCAACCGCGUGUGAGACCAGCGAAGGCGCUCUGGUCCUAAGAGGUGGAGAGUGUGACAGCUCAAGCGGCAGUACGCGAGGAGGAGGGAUGGCGGUGCGUCCGUGCCUCGGUCCUCGAACAUGCGCAGGGAAGGGGCGUGUCUCGUGUCCCACAUUGCUUUGGGAAGUCCUGAGCUAGUUUAUAAGGCUUGGGUUCUGUAAGUAACACGUUUUAAAGCCGUGAGGACUCAGUAUCCAAAGCGGACAAUAUUACACAGCGGAACCCGGUCGUUACAAUUUGAGUGCCUUUCAUUUUUUCUUCUAGACAUAGUUUGGCAAGAAGCAUCAGAUUCUAAGAAAAUGCCAUGAUAUAACUUCUUUUUGGAGAUGAAACAUGCAAAGAUUGUUGCUGUCAAACAAAAUUUGGUUUUUUUUGCAAACAAUCCACCACUUUUUUUGUGAGAAUGAGGGACUAAUGCAAUAUGACCUCUUGUUCUUCAGCCGGGUGAACUGUGCAAGUGUCUAUGCUGGCACUGCUGCAACUCAAAACCGUAAUGAGUGCUUAUAACUUGGAUAUUUGUGUCGUGUGAGGAAAAAAGCGAAAGAAGAGCUCGGUCUUAUUCGUUCUUGCCUUAUCUUUCCUUGUUAACUUCACAAAAUUGCUUUAAGAUUGUCAUCUGAUGUAACCUUUAACUAAAUUAACUCCCAUCAAACAGAUUGUCACUGAACACUGAUCGGUUGUCGAGGGGGUCCUCAACACCAAUUGCACUUGAGGAAGCGUGACCAACCUCAGGGCCUUGUCUAGGUGCCUCUUGCCUUGGUACACCCGAUUGCUGUGGGUAGGGUCUUGACAUGAUCCGAUGACUAGUACUUUUAGUAUGUUAUAAGAGGCCUAGACAUCCGACACAAUUAAAUUGGAAAAAACAUAAAUAUUACUGAUGUAGUAUGUUUUGUUUUAUCUGCUUUUUGGUAAAUUGUCUCUAACGUAUCUUGUUACCAUAUCUCUUAUCGUUUGUUUAUAAGGUUUCGAUGGGCCUUAUAUAUAUGUAGCCUCCUUCCUCCUCAUGACUUAAUCUUUUGGGUUCUAACAUUGUUUCAGAUCCAUCCCUUAAUUUCUUUCCGUUUGUGGCUCCCUUUUCAUCAAUUCUGUGUGAUGUUCUCAGUUCAGUUUGCAUGUAAUUGGAGGUGUUAAAGUAUUCCCUAUGUGUUUUCAACGUGCCUUAUAUACAUUUUUGUCUUCCUCCAUCUAUUGAUUUGAAAUUUUUGGGUUGGAUUUUCCUCUCCCAGGAUGAUAGGAAGCUUUACAUUUUCCUUGAGUACAUGAACAAAGGUUCACUUGAAACCAUGUAUCACAAAUACAACUUGAGAGAUUCCCAAGUCUCUGCAUACACUAGGCAAAUUGUAAAUGGUUUGAAGUAUCUUCAUGACCGGAAUGUGCUCCACAGGUAUUAUAAGAGAGAUGCUUGACUUUGCACGUAGCAAACUUUUCUUUCUAAUGGAUGAUUGAUUUUAAUAAGGAGAGAGAUUCUAACUAAACAAAGACCACGGAAACGUAUAUUUUGUUUCAUGGCGCACACCCUUGGCGCCUUUUGAUAAUACUUCUUUUUACUUAUCCAAAUACUUUCCUGGAUUUGAGGGAGUAAUCAAAUCUUUGAACCAAAAUGUGGUGUUAUGAGAAGGAGAUUUGUUGUGAUAAUCAGCAAACAACAAGGUGACACUAUGACCUUGUCCAGCAUUAUCUAGCAUAGACAAGAUUAUUUUACAAUGUGAAUGCCUGAAGGUAGAAAUUUAAUUUUGUAAUAUUGUUAACUGUGAGGAUGAAUAUGAAAUUUUUUAUCUUUUAUUAGUCCUACGGACAGCCAUGCUGGUUUCUCAUGCUUCCAGUUCCUUCAUUAUGUAGGGAUAUCAAAUGUGCUAACAUACUGGUUAAUUCGUUUGGAUGUGUGAAACUUGCAGACUUCGGAUUGGCAAAGGUAUGUCUCGUCAGUGAAAGUGAACUCUCUCUCUCUCUCUCUCUCUCUCUCUCUCUCUCUCUCUCUCUCUCUCUCUCUCUCUCUCUCUCUCUCUCUCUCUCUCUCUCUCUCUCUCUCUCAUGUGCUAGCAACAAAGGCACAUGCUCAUAUACAUACGCAUGCACAGUGCGCGAGCAACAAAGAUGCAUUUACAGACACCUACAUGUGCACGCCUGACAAACAUACGUAUAGAAAUGCACAGAGUGACGCAUUGUCCUUUACUUUUCUGAAAAUGACGUAUCGACUUACCGUGUAUAUUCAUACAGGUCACCAAAAUGAAUGAUGCUAAAUCCUUGAAAGGAUCCCCUUUUUGGAUGGCACCUGAGGUUUGCACCCUCCACUGCCAUUAUUUUAACAUACUAUCAUCAGCUGCAUUAGGCGCAUAUCUUUUCCAUUUUUUUCAUUAUUGUUGAUCGUAACUGCAGGUCGUCAAUCUAAAGAACGGAAGCUAUGGAUUGGCAGCUGAUAUUUGGAGCCUAGGGUGCACUGUUUUAGAGAUGUUAACCUGCCGGCCUCCAUAUUCUGACUUAGAAGGAGUAUGUUACUAAGUAACCUUUUUCUUAUGUUUUAUAUCCUCGAGAUCCAUGCUUUGCCAGUAUGACUUACUAUUUGCGACUUUUUUGUCAUUGCUACUUUUUGUGUGAGCUAACUUAUUUGAGCAAAUGUUGUGACGAGUCCAUUGGGCUGUCAUUUUAAGAAAAUAAAAUGAGUAAGAGCAUUACUUAAAAAAGAGAGGACAGAGAAUUCAAUGAUAUUUAUCAAGAGUAGUCGUGUCAGAGGAUAUGCAUAGUUUUUAUGGCCAAUAGUUGUAACGUGGAAUGAAAACUUGGUCGAACAUUUGAAUCUUGACUUUCUCUUUCAAGUAAUUUGGCAUUGUUGUCUAUACUUUUAAUUAGUAUAAGUUUACGGUGUGCGGUGGCAUACGUUUAGAUAAUCGCAUAUAUAAAUAGUGUCCCAUCAAAUGACGUGGGGAACACAUAUGACUUUACCAUCUAGUCUCAACAAUCUCUCCAUCUUCUCUUUCACUGUCACAUGGUACUUGAAGAGUCUGCUCCAGUCCUGAGAGCAGAUAUUGAUUGCUUCAUGUUCCCUGCAGUGUCCUUUUAUUGAGUUGUUCUCUAUUUCUCACUCGCCUUCAUCAACCUUGGUGUUUCCCUCAUUGCCUUCAAGUGUUGAUCCUUCCCUGCUCUUCUUUGAAUCAAUCAAUGACCUAAGUGGUUGUCUUCUCUACUAGGAUUAGUAACUUUCAAUAUGGAAGUUGGUAACUUUUCAAUUUGGUUGGUAACUGUCGAACACUAUGAUAACUUUAAUGUCUUACGUUGAGUUGGCAACUUCUCUGUACACGUUGUAAGUUUUCCAUAAGGAAUGGUAAUUACUGGCUCUAGCCAGUAAAUCACCUCAUGAUGUUAUCCCUUUUUAGGCACGACAGCUUAGAGACCCCCCUUUUGGUAGAAUGGCUGCUACUGAAGUUUGAAGUGCUCUCGUCUUCUGAGCAACUCUGAAGGUUAGACUGCUUUUGUUAUAGAGGAAAAAAAACAAUACCGUUCUUAUCAAAGCCAUCGUCAAACAUAAAACCAACGCCCCCUUUAUGUUUACAUUUUUGUUUAGAUUAGGACUCUAAAAAAUUUGAGCAAAAAGAAAUAGAUACUUACGUUUAAUUAGGAGUAGUUGGAAAACAUUUAUGUUGUUGGUCCCUGUGAACUGUUAACGUGGUAGAUGAUUGCCCGAAGCAUGACGUGCUCAGAAUUGCCUACAGAUCUUAUUGGUUUAUCAAGAUGUCGUUUGUUAGUUCCCCCUGGAUUUAUGAAUAACACAAGGCUCUACUACGUUCUUUCUUAUUGUGGCAGAUGCAAGCAUUGUUCAGAAUUGGCAGGGGCGAACCUCCUCCAAUUCCUGAUUCUUUAUCAAAAGAAGCUCGAGACUUUAUUCUUAACUGCUUACAGGUAAACCCAAAUGAUCGGCCUACUGCAGCGCAGUUGCUAGACCAUCCCUUCGUGAAGAAGCCACCUAUAGGGUUUUGCUAGGCCAUCCCUUUUUGGUUAAUUGCUGUGAAGGUAAUUUUACUUUUUCUGUUUGUAUUUUUGUUGUUAGAUGGCUAGUUGGAGUAUUCUUCUUUGGGGCUAAUGACAAGAUACCUUCAUCAACUUACCGCAUUUCUACUGUUUACUCCGAACCUACCUAUUCAACUUUUAACAGUCUACACUAAACUUUUAAAUUUGGAGCAAAUAGUCCACGAAUUAUAGGUUCCAUGCUUAGUUUCCCAAUUCCCUUACACCCUUUACACGUUUCUACCGUCUGCUCUAAUGUUUCCACCAAAUCAUCCUGAAACUUUCAAUUGAGUGAGUUGCCCUUAGUGGUUAAUUGGUAUGCUAUAGGUUAAUUUGUCUUUUGUCAGGGUAGAGGUUUGUGGAAUUGAUUGUUAUGCCAUGAAAACAAUCAUAGUUGCAGCUUCCCUUAGCAUAUAUUAAAAUCUAGGAAUAUCUACAUGAAAGUUUCGGUAGCGUGACAGUAACAAUGACCCUAUAAGAAACGAAAGUGGAUAAAUAGGCUUUGUACUUCCUGUUGUCGAACUUCCUUGUAAAGUUGCCUCAUGUGGUAAGAGUUUUUAUUGGACACUGGACGUGUCACACCCAAAAUCCUGGAUAGGGGUAAUGACACGGCCGUCUUUCAUUAGACAAACGCAACUUCAAACCACUAAUGACAGAUUCAUUUCCAAAUUGAGUGCAAGAAGACAGAGAAAGACUAGAAGACACGCUGCUUCUUUCAAGUACAAAAUGGCACGUGCAUAAAUGGAGGGAAUCGUAUACCCAAAUCACAGAGAGACCAAUCCAGGUGAGAAUCGAGCAGCAAGAUGGCCAGUAGCUUGAGCAGAAAACACAUCAAGGCCGAGGAAGCGAGGAUUUGCAAUUUUAUUGCCCAACUUCUUGUUUUCAACGAUUUGGAUGCUUCGGAACAUGUCCAAGAUCUUGAUACAGUGAUCCGAAGGUGGAGAUGGUGGUGGGUCCGGCGAAAUUGAUGGCGAAGGAGAUGAAUCGGAGGAGGAGCUAGAGGAGCAAGUUUGACACGGAACUCAAAGUUGUGAGAUCUGAAUAUCGCGGGAGACUUUGCGGACAAAUGAGAUUUUUUAAAGAUUUUCAAAAAAUAUUAAUUUUAAGAUUUCUAAUUCGACCUUUUUCUGUCCUUAAUUUUAUAUCGUAUUCCAAUUAAAAUACAGACGCAAUCUCCUCUGUAUUUCAACGCCGUAUCAACCGACAAAAAGAAAAAGCAACCUUCGAGAUUUUCUUAUUCUGGCUUUCUUUUGAUGGCUUCCGUGCUGCUGCUUGUUGCCUGCUAAAAAGCCCCAGGUCGGGAAAAGCCCAUCACGCCGGCAUGAAACUAUACACGCUCGUUUUGCAAGAAGAAUAAAUCUUCUACCCGAAAGAGAAGAUGAAUCGAUCACGUUUCAAAAGGAGGAGGGAUCAGGACUUGAUUGGAUGGUGUUGCGACCUAUCUUUAGGGAACAGGUUUAGGGGUAUUGCUUAAAGAACAGGCUUAAGGCCCAUGAUUAGGCGUGGACUCUCCCAAGCCCAUAUCUCAUGUGACAUUGUGAUAUUCUUUAAAAUUUUGCAAAAAAAAGUCGCCACUAACCCAUUGGAGUCGGCUAGAAAUCAAGUGAGGCAUAAAAGUAUACCUCAUUUCCUACAUAACUGGAGAAUCUAGAGUUUGGGACUUGAUUAUACUAAUUGACCAAUUAGUGCCCUUUCGGUACCUAAUUUUGUUCAUUGCAGGUAAUUUGGAUUGAUUUUAUAUUUAUUCACUAACAUGUAAGAUAAUCAUGCGGAUACGCAAUCAUUAAAGUAAUAAUUAUAACUACCAAAAUCCUAAUUGCAGUAAAAUUAGACACAUGCAAUUAACAUAAAUAAAUAGAUAAGCAAAUCAAACAUAAGAUAUAAUCGAAAAAACGAGCAAAUAGAGGUCUAAUUACCUUAAGAAUGCAAAACAUAAUCAUUCCUAACCAAACCCUACACUCUUAGGGAUUUUCAAAACUUAUAUAUAUUAAUUAGCUAAUUUCUUUUUAAAAAAUUAAUUUUUUAAUUUUUUAAUGCUUUUUUUUCAAAAAAUAUUAUUUAUUAAUAAAUUAAUAAAAAAAAUUUCCCCGGAACGGGUCGGGUCGGGUCGAGUCUAACCCGAUUCGACCCGAUCAGGUCCGGCUCGACCGGUUUAGGCCCGACCAAACUUGGGCCGAUAGCCGGACCCAAGCGAAAGCCGGGGUCGAAUGGGCCAGAUCUGUGAUCUGGCCCACUCGACCAGCGCUCCUUUGGUCGUGACCGGGCAGUCCCAGCCAGGGGCGCCAUGAAGGCGCACGCCGGUGACGGCGCCGCCGUGGCAAGGCAGGGUGAUCGGCGCGGCUUCCCUGGCUGCAACGACGUCUCUCCGACAGCCAGGGGUCCUAGGGGUCCACGCGGAGGAGCUUCGGGGGAGAGAGAGCCCAUUCGGGCAUUAUAGCGAACAGGCGGAGGGCAUGGGCGAAUCAGGGGGCUUCCGGCCUAGUGGGGCUCGAGGCGGUGGCGGCGGCGACCAACAAACAACCAGCCAUAAACAGAGACCUAAGGGGGAAUCUACGGAGGCCGGAGCUCGCCCAAAACGGACGGGACGAGCUCCGGCGAGCUCGAAUUCGAAAAUGCACACCAGAUGUUCGACGAAAUACCAACCUGAGUCCGGCGGGAAUGGCGGCUCGGGAACCCGUCGGCUGCGGCGGUGGUGACCUGGAAGCGUGUCAGCGGCAGUGACGGCGACUGAUUCUCCUACCUCCUCCUGUUUCUUCCCUCUUUCACUCUCUGUUCGCUCUCCUCCCUCUGUCUCCUUGCUCUCUGUUCUGCCUCCAGGGCUCCGGCGGAGACGGAGUAGGAGGCGGUCGGCGACUCCGGUAGUGGUCGACGGCAGCGAUCGACGGCUCCGGGGUCUCUCUUCUCCUCUCCUCUUCUCGGUCUUUUCUCCCUCUCCCCUCUCUUUUUCCCCUUUCUUCCCCCUUUCUUCUUGCUUUUUCGACCGUUCGGCUCGCGCGCGUGCCCUCGGCUGACCAACCCGCGGGCUCUGCCAGCCGGCUCUGACCUGAAGAUCGCGCCGCUCGCCUGCCACCCUGCGGAUCAUGCUGUCCCCUGCCGCCGCUCCUCCCUGCUCUGGCGUCUGCUUUCUGCUUUUUUUCUUCGCAGGUUCCCCGUGCAGAAAACGGCUGAGGGGAGAAGACAACGGUGCGGGCCGGGCCGAAGGGAAGAAGAGGGCUAGGCCGCGCGAAGGAGAAAAGAAAAAAUGAAAAAUGAAAAAGGAGGGGUUGGGCCCAAGCCCACGUAGGUAGAAAUAAGAGGAAGAGGGGCGGGCCGGGCCAAGGCUGGAUCCGGCCCGACCCGAACCCCCACGGCUUUGCCUUUUUUUUUUUAAGGAAAAUUAAUAAUUAAAAUUUUUUAUUUUGAUUUUUGAUUUAUAUAUUUAUAUAUAUACUUUUUGAAAGAUAAAAAUUAGGUGUCAACAGAUGGCCACCCGACUCGAAUUCUGUCUAUAUUUGUUUAUACAGAACAAUAUAAACAAGAAUUCUGUAAUUCGAUGAUCACAGAACAAUAAAAAUACAUCAUGCCUGUCUUGGGCUCGAUGGGUUCCUCGUGCUUCCCGCUAAAUUAGAGUUCAUCUCCCUUCGCGAAUAGAGUCGGAGAGAAAGAGGAAAAACAUACAAUUUGAUGCCUGCAAAAGGCCAGAAUAUUCUCGUUUUAGGAUUCCAAAGCCUUUACUCGUUCCCCCUUUUUCCCACUCUCUUUCACCCUUUUUCGUCGGGGGAAGCGCACGGCGGCGACCGCGCAAAAUGAGAGUGAAGAGCACCGAGGUGGUGGCCGCUGACGAUGGGAAGACUGAUGAUUCCGACUUCUUCUCGUCACUUGCUGUAAUAGAGGGAGGCCCUCCCCAGGUUCUGCAUCUCGAUCAUACUUAUGGGAAUUUUAAGCUGAUCUACGAUUCAAUAAAAGCGCGAGAGCUCUAUUUUUUUCUAGCGAUGGGUGUUUCAAAUUAAAGGGCACCUCAUGGAAAAAGCUUAAGUAAUUUGGAGGUGGGGCAAAUGGAAUUGUCUAUGAAGCCAUCACUAAGUAAGGACACAUUUGGUAACACCCAAAGAACAAUUUUUGAAUAGAAAUAAUUUUUUUUUUGUUUCUUUCCCAUAAACAAUUUUUUAAUAUAAGAACGCGCUUUGUAAUUUCACAAAAUUUCUAUUCCUAGGAAUGAAAUGCAUUUGGUAAAAUUAUAUAAUUUUGUUAUUUCUUUUAAUUUUUUAAUAUUUUUAUUAUAUUUUCUUUUUUCCUUUUUCUUUUCUCCCCUUCUUCCUCUUUGUGCCGAUCGCCGGCGGCCGAUGACCGGAUGGGCGAGGUCUGACAAGCUCACUAGAGCCUCACUAGGCUAGGGCGAGGGCCCGCGAGCUAUCUGGAGCCUUGCCUGACCACUAGGAGGCUCGGCCUCACCCAAAUUUGGUGAGGCCAAGCCUCCCGAUGGCCUGGCGAGCACCGCAAGGCUUGGCCUCACUAGAUCUAGGCGAGGUUGAGCCUCACCAAUGGCCUCGGUGGCCAGGCAAGCCUCGUCAAGCCACCGAUGAAGCUCGACUUGGCUCAGCCUCUCUGGGGGCUGGUGACGCUCCAGCCAAGUUGCCGGCCAUGGCCAAGGCCGGCAACCAACCCAAAGGAAGAAGAAGAAAAAGAAAAGAAAGAGAGGAAAAAAAGAGAAGAGAGAAAAAUUGUUUCUAGAAAUUGUUCUCAAGAACAAGAAAUUACUUUUUUCUACUUCUUGUUUUUGUUCAAAGUCUAUUCCAAAGAACAAAAGUUUUACCAAACAUAUUUCUGUUCUUUUUUUGUUCUAAGGAACCGGAACACUUUUUAACAAACAAACCCUAAGAUUCCUCUACUUCUCACUGAUAAUCAUUUUGAACAUGCUUGGUAUGAUCAAUUUUUUUGGCGAAGUAAAAUUGGUAUUAUGCUUUCCGAUGGUAAUUCUAAGCGUUGAACUUAGAAUUAAGAACACUUGGCCAACAUGUAUUUGUUGAGGCAACCUCAUACAAUCUCCAAAAAAAUUCCAAUUUCCAAUUUGAACUUUUUAUACUUUUGGAAUGGAAUAUUUAUGGAAUCACACAUAUACGAUCAAACCUUAUUCCAUGGUAUUUACAUGAGAAAUCUCUUUCUUAUUCUUAAUUAAGCCCCCACGAGGGCUUAGUUGACCCAUGAUUUAUGUUUCAUCUUUCGUUUCUUUUUUUCAAGAAAUAUAUGGAUCAAUUCCCAUUAUUUCUUUUUCUAUUGAUUAUUUUUUAAUCGAGAAAUAUGGAUAUAGAUCAUCUGUUCAUAGAUUAAUGAAAAUGUGCAAAAGCUCUAUUUCCAUAUGCCAUUCUAUGAGUCUUCCUUCCCAAAGGUGUAUCCAAUUACUUAAAAUGCUUGAUCUUCACAUUGGGAAUUGGAGUUCUGGCAUGAUUGGCAUGGCAUUUAUUGAACACCAUUCUUUAUUACCAAACAUAUUGAUGAAUUGAAGAUUUGUAUUUCAAAAAUCACGUAAAUUUAUUUGUUCCCCAUGGCUUUAUUGUAAAGUCAAAAACCCCAAAAUUUAUCCAAAGUGACAAAUUUAUUUCAAAAUUUUUUUGUGACAUAAAAAACCAUAAACUUUGCUAACCGUAACAUAUUUAUUUCAAAAAAAAAUUCGUGGCACAAAAAAUCCUAAACCUAUAUUCAUGUGAUACAUUUACCUCAAACUAUAAGACAUUUUUGUCUUUUACUUUUUAAUUUUUUUCUUCUUCUUCUCUCUUCCCUCUGUCGGCUAUGGCGGAAGGUAGAGAGAAGAAGAAAAAAGGGGAAAGAAGAAGAAGAAGAAGAAGAAGAUGAAAAUGCCCUUGGCCAUAGAGUUUGGGUAAAUGUAUCACAAUUAGCAAAAUUUAGGGUUUUUUUUAUGUUACAAAAAAAAUUUAAGAUAAAUUUGUCACUUUGUGUAAAAUUUGAGAUUUUUGAUGACUUUUUCCCAUUUUUUUGAUCCCUUAAAUCGUGGAUUGAAAUUGAGUGAGACGUCAUACAUACAUCUCCCAGGAUUUGAGGACCUAGCCGGACUUAACCAUAUUCUUCUCUUCCUAGGUGGAAGUGGUUCUCGAUAUGAUCUUCCUACCCAUUCAUGUCUUAAUUAAGUUCUCGGCUUUGUUAAUAUGUAUGCAUCCGCAAAAGAAUAGAUAGGAACAAGAAACACCAACAUAGGUUACUAAAAGGUGAGACCCAGAAAUAAUUAAAUGGCCACAACACUUUAUUGGGGAGUGUUUCAGCCUUAUUAAAAGCCGAAAAUGCCGUCAGCCAUAGAAAUAUUUAUGGGACUUGAAGUGAAAUGGUCCUCUCAUGUUCCACAACAAAGAUGUUAACCACGACACAGGCGUCUCCCACGACAGGUUUUUUGCCUCUAGGAAGCGUAGAUAGGUGCGCACAACUUUUGCAGGAUAAGCAAUUGAUGAGGAUUGCAUAACCUUGGGAUCCGUGAUGGAGUGCUCUUUGUUUUUUGCUUGUUUGAUAUUAGGCCAUGUCUCAUAAAUUUGAAGUGUUUUUAUUAAUGACAUGCCGCUUCAAGAUAAUCGCUUCUAUCAUGUCAUGAAAAGUUUAUGUGGAUGACAAUCAGACCUGUCGAUGCAAGGAUCAACUUACACUGUGGUGGUAGGGAAUGUUGUUGGGAAACUAGUGGUGCUUACCGAGUCCGUCUAUAGUUCUUUUCUUUUUCUUUUUCUUUUUUUUUUUUGCGCCUUUCAUUCUCAAUCAUUUCGCCAACACCAAAAUGAAGAAAUAAUUACACUUCAAUUUUACGUUGACUCGCUUUAGAAUCUUUGUUUUCCCGUCAGUUAUUGCAAUAAAUCAAACCCCGGAAAGUCCAACUGGAUUGGCACUUUCAUUUGCAAAUGGAGUGCAUGAAGACAUCGACCAGAUAAACAAGAUUAGAAGACACAGAAAACACGCUGCUUCUUUGAAGUACAACAUGGCAUGUACACGAUCAGAGGGAAUCGUGUACCCAGAUCACUGAGAGACCAGUCCAGGUGAGAAGCAAGCACUAAAACCGCCAGUGGCUUGGGCAGAAAACACAUCAAAGACCAAGGAAGCGAUGAUCUACGAUGGUAUUGCCUAACUUCUUGUUUUCGAUGGUUCGCAUGCUUCGGAUCGCGGAGCUCAUUUGUGCAGUCAAGGAAGCUCCAUUGUCCUGCCGAAAUAGCAUCUGCAGUCUCCGAGAGAUGGGUCUUCAUCUCUGAGAUCUUGGUAUGGUGAAGCCGAGCAGGACUAUGGUUCGGAGGUGGAGAUGGCGGCUGAUCUGGCGAAAUUGGCGGAGAAAGAGACGAACGGCAGGGGGCUAGACCUUGAGAGAGCGGGUUCGAGUCGCUAGUGAGGGAACUGAACUGGUGAAAUCUGAAUAUGGCCGGAGUUUUGUGUUGGGCAAGUAAGAUUUUUUAAUCCUAUCUUGAAUUGUACUGAAUAAUUUUUACCAUUCAAAAGAUAUUUCAGAAGAAUUCUAAUUCGACGGUAUCAUAUCAUGUGUCAGUCCAGAUCGCUGUGCCAGGACACCUAUAGACAUGCGAAAAGAGCUUGAAAGGAACAGCUUCUGGAUUUUUUCUUCGCUUUCUUUGGAUGGCUUCCCUGCUGCAACAUUUUAAGAUUGUCUGCUAAAAUACCCAAGUCGUGAAAAACAAAUCGUGCCGGCAUGAAACUAAACAUGCUCACUCUGCAAGAAUAUAUCUUCUUUUACGCGAAGAAGAUCAAUUCGGUCACGUUCCAGGAGGAACUAAUAAAAAGAAAAACCAAGUUACUGUUCAUAGUCAAAUGGAAUCUCCCUGCUCUAGCUCCACCACCACCACCACCACCACCACCACCACCACCGACACCACCCCCACCCACUCAGCCCCUCUUUCUCUCUCGGAUACGAAGCUCGUCGCGUAGUCACCGAUGGUUGCCCCCGACGCCGCUCUCGGCGGCAACCGUGAUGAGGAACUCUCCUAGCAGCUCGAAUUACUUGCAUUUUCCUCUGAGUCAAACAACGCCAGGUGCGGCAGAAGUUGUUGAUAGCGCUUUUUUUCUUUCUUUUUUUAUCCCUUUCAUCGUCGUUUUCCUGUUUUCUUCGAUUUUUUUAUUGGUUGAGAGCUCAAUUCAUCCUCUGUUUGAUCGAGAUAGAGAUAUUAGUUUGGUUUCUUAGCUUGGUUUGAAAUUCUUAGCAUUUUUAAUGGGGAAGCUUAACAUGUUGAAUGCAGGGCACCUGACGAAAUUGUCCCUUCUGAUAUAUCGGUGGCCGCUUACGAGGGUAGUAACUUGACCUGCUCAUGAUCCUCUCAUUCGAUUUCAUGGACUUUCCAUGCGGUGUAGCCCGAUCUUGUGGUCACCAUGUUCUUAUUCUUUCUGUGUUGCUGAAAUCAUGAUUCCUAAAAUUGUGCAGAUCCUGCGGCGGACUCUGCAACAAUUCAGAACCUGGGUGCUAUGUUGUUAUGUUGAACACUCCUCCUGCCGACAAUUUAGAUCCAAAGUCCCACGUUGCUGUGUCGAGCACCCCCGCUUCUGUCGCGUUGAGCACCCCUCCUACCGGCAAUAGGCACCUUGUUUUUGUGAUGACCAAUUUAGAUCCAGAACAAAAUGCUGUUGGGUUGAACGCCCCUCCUGCCAGCAAUGUAGAAACACGGCACCGCUUUUCUAGCAAUAGGGUUCUCAUCGGGCGAAAAUGCACCUCGUGGCAAAUUCGUGAGAAGUUGGGAAGCGGGUCAUAUGGCGAUGUCUAUAAAGGUUUAGCUGAGUAAGAUUCUUUGCGCCUCUUUGAUAAUAAUUUAGUUAUUCUUGGUAUAACCAAUUUUUGGGCCGAAGUACAAUCGGUGUUCUCCCAUUAUGAUAUUUCAUUUGAAGUUACGAUGGCACUUCUUAGUGCUGCAAUUUUGUGCUUAGAAUUAUAGGAACAAUGUCUAAUCAUUUGGCUGACAUAAGGCCCAUUUAAAGAGACAUGACAAAGACUUAUCCUUCACGUUGGAAAUUGGAGUUCUAGCGUGACUGGUAUGAUACUUAUUGAAGGCCAUUCUUUAUUAUUAGAUAGAUUGAUGAAGUCAAGGUUAUGUGUAAAAAAUCAUUUAUACUUAGUUAACUGUACUAGCUUGUAUAAUGGGCAAUAUUUCUUCCUUCUUUUUUGGAAAAAUGGAUAUUAUGAUAAAUUAGUGUGUGCAGUAAAUAUGAAUUGAAUGUAAAUUCAAAUGCUGAAAGAUAUGUAUCUAUCUUAGUGAUAUUAAUGAGAAAAGCUCUUUUUUAUUCUUUUUAUCAUCUAGAGUGUACAGAUUAUCUUAAUCAUGUCGGGUCAUGGCAUCAUUCACGAAAGAUUCGGCAUUUAUAUUCUAUUUCUCUCUCAUGCUUUCUCUAUUUCCACAGUGAUGAAUCCAUUUUUGCUGUAAAAGUGGCUCCUUUGUCAGACGACGACAAGCGGAAGCAGCUUGAGCACGUAACUGCUUGUUUCUUCUUGUAUCUUGUGCAUUGGCCCUUAAGCAUGACUACUUGGCUUACCUCGAUCUUAUAAGUGCCAAGCUGAUGUAUAGGCAAAAUUAUUUAUAAAACUGCCGCGCAUACAACCAUAAAUCUGGUUUGUGUUCGAUAGAUUUUCUUCUCUCUUUCUUUCUAGUGAUACUCUGCUUCUUUUUUCAGGAAAUUUCAAUUUUAAGUCAAAUAAAACACAGGAACGUAGUGCGAUAUCUUGGCCAAGACAAGGUGUGGUUCCUUCUUACUAAGUUACUUUCUGCAGUAUCUUUCACUUUGGCAUCAAUUGUGAUAUCACGGGAACUGAGCAAAAUAUUUAGGGGAUCGUGGCUGUGAUUUGCAGCCACAUUAUAGUGGUGGCAUCAUCAUGAGUAGUCACUACAUGUCUUAUCUGCAAUUAUCCUGUGAAUAAGAUCACGGCAAUUCGGCUUGGCUGUUUCUUUAUGGCAUGACUACUGGUUGUCUUGUGGCCCUUUGGAUGGGUUCGUGCCUCCUUCCUUCAGGGAAAGGCUCCUUAUUCCUAAUCAUGCGGUGGUAGCUGAUCUUUUUACCUCGAGGGGUCUCAUAUUCAGGGAGUUGUUGUCGAGAUGGGGCCUUGCUAUUCCGUCUUUGACUGCUGGAAGCGACAGGUUUAUUUGGUGCGGUCAUCCGUCAGGUUCUUUUUCAGUUGCAUCUGCAUGAGAUUCUAUCAGAUCGAAAAAACCUUGGGUCAGCUGGGCUUCUCUCAUUUGGGACAAUGUUGUAGCCCCUCGUUUCCAGUUCAUCUUAUGUCUCAUAGUCAGGAAUCGGCUUCCCACACAAGUCAUGCUUCUAUCCCAUGGACGUAUUGACUUUAAUGUGUGUGCUUUUUGUAGCGAGGUCUCAGAUUCUAUAGACCACCUUUUCUUCGGGUGUCGCACCUCGGCUUCACUGGCCUUCUUUUGGGCCACCAGGUGCAACCUCCCCUGGAGGAACAGGUGCUGGAAUGAAAUGCUUCCCUGGGCCAUGAAAUUCCUCUCCAGAAAUGACUUCUAUCACAGGAUUGCACGGUUCUCCUUUGGUGCUUUGUGCCACCUCAUAUGGAAGAAAAGGAAUGCAAUCAUCUUCAAGGGUGAAUCGUGCGUGGUGGCCGCUCUCAAAAACCAUUUGCUGAUGGUGGUUAGGGACAAAGCCCUUACCUUCAAGGAUGUUGCCCAUUCUCCGAGGAACAAAAGGCUUCAAAGUAGGUGGGGCUUUGACCCCGUGAUUUUCUCGAGCUCUCCGGAUCCUCCUUAGGUUGUGUCUGCAGUUGUUCGCAUUUCCGCUCUUCGCCUUUCCUUGUUAGAGGGUGUGAGGGUCGGUGGUCCUGCCUGAGGGUGGGUUGUUCGGUUCGUUGUGUGGGUUCUUCCUUGUGGGCUUAUUUGCCUUGUGGUUUUACAUCGGAUCCCCUCCACUUUUGCUUCUUCGCGAGAGUGUAGGUUUUGGACCCGAUCUUUUGUACGAUUGUCCAUUUCCUUAAUACUAUUAUUACCUUCACCAAAAAAAAAAAAAAAAAGAUCACGGCAGUUGCGGCUUUUUAGCAGCAAUGGCCACUCAUGACAGACAGAGACAGAUAUGUUGGGUCCCCUCCACCACAAGAAAGGUUUGUGAGAAAGAAAAUAUGUAGAGUAGACGUUAGAUUAUGGAGUCUCUCUCUCUCUCUCUCUACGAAAGUAAAUUUUUUCCUCCCUUCUAAAAAGUGCCUGUCUUGUAAUCAAUUAACCCUUUGUUUUCUGGUGGUGAAUAAUUUACAAUAUCUUGCAAACUGAAGAUUCAGGUCAAACUCAUAGGUCUAAUAAAGUGGAAUCAAAGGAUAAGAAAGUGAAGUAAUUUAACCUUCAGGUGUCCUUUGAUUGACCAUCUGAUGGUCUGCAUCACUAAUGUGCCGACCUUUUCUCCCUCAACUAUUAUAUAACUGGUCGUGGCUGUGGCAACAACAAUGGAGUUCCUCCACAAGCUGAUUUUUUCCAUAUAUUCUAGUCUUGCGUGUCUUUUAUUCUGCUCAUCUUUAUGCAACAUCAUAUGUUUCUUACCUCUACAAGUAGAAAAAAACUGAAAAUAGAAUUGACCAUUGUUCAAGUGAGGGAAGUAGUUCCUAUCUUAGUGGCUUAAAUGUUCAAGUACCUGCUUUUUUCCUUCUAAACAUAGUUUGGCAAGAAGCAUCAGAUUCUAGGAAAGUGCCAUGACAUAACUUCUUUUUGGAGAUGAACCAUGCAAAAGAUUGUUGCUUUCAAACCAAAUUUGGUUUACUAUACCUACAAUCCACCCCAUUGUUUUGUGGCAAUGAGGGAUUAACGAAUUAGGGCCCCUCUUUCUUAUGCCAGUACACUAGACCACUUUUUUUUGUUGGCAUUGAUGCAACUUGAGACUCUGGUGAACGCUUAUAACUUGGAUGCUUGUGUUGUACCAGGAAACCAACAAAAGAAGAGCUCGGCCCCAUGCGUUCUUGCCUUAGUUUCCUAUUUGAGUUCACAAAAUUACUUUUAAAAUGUCAUCUGAUGUAAAAUUUUACUAAUUACCCCCAUCAAGCAGAUUCUCACUGAACACUGAUUGUUUAUUGAGGAGAUCCUUAGUACCAAAGUGCAAUUCCAGAAGCAUAACCAACUCAACAAUGAUUUCUAGUCUCUGUGAAAGUAAUUUCCUCAGGCCUUGUCCAGGAGCCUCGUCUUUGCACACUCGAUUGCUGUGGGAAGGGUGUUGUCUUGAUUUGGUGAUUGGUCAGGUAUUAUAAGAGGCCUAGACAUGCAGCAUCAUUUGGAUGAGAAAAACGUAAAUGUCACUGAUCUUUGUUUCAUUUUAUUUGCUACCCGGUAUGGUUGUCUCUGAUGCAUCUUGUUAAAAUAUCUUAUGUAGUUUGUUUAUGGGGUUUCGAUGGUCCUUAUAUGCAUGUAGACCCUUUUCACUUAAUAGCAUAAUCUUUUGGGUUCUGACAUAAUUUCCGAACCAGGUCCCCGGCCCCCUUUCCUGCCCAAUUUAUUUUCGGUAUAUGACUCCCUUUUCAGCAAUUCCAUGUGCCAUUCUCAAUCUGUUUGCCCAUGAGAGGGAUGCAGUUUCAAUGUGCCUUAUAUGCUUUGUCUUAUUCCACCUAAUACCGUAAACUUUUGAGUUGGAUAUUCUAACAUAUAUGACUUUCACUCUCUUCCAGGAUUCUGAGAAGCUCUAUUUAUUCCUUGAGCUCAUGCCUUAUGGUUCACUCGAUACUCUUUAUGAGAAAAAAAGCUUGACAGAAUCGGAAGUCUCCAAAAUCACUAGGCAAAUUCUAAAUGGUUUAAAGUUUCUUCAUAGCAAGAAUGUGAUACACAGGUAGAAGAAAAAUGCUUGACUUUGCAUUAGUAGUUUUGACUAAUUGAAAUAGCGAUUCACACUUCUCAUUUCCGAUGGAAGGUUGAUUUUGUUAAGGAAAGAAAUCAUGACCAGACAAAGCGCACAUUGAAAUUUAUAUAUCUUGUUUCAUGGCACACCCCCCAUGUUGCCUUUUGAUGAUAUUUCUUUACUUGUCCAAAUACUUCUUGUGGAUUUAAGGGAGUUUUCAAAUCUUAAACCAACAUGUAGUGUUAUGAAAAGUAGAUUUCUUGUGAUAAUCAGCAAACAACAAAGUAACAUUACUCGAGCUUGUUUAUCAGUAUUUAUUGUAAAGGGAAAAAUUGCAUUGUAUUAUUCAAUAAAAGUCUAUAUAUACAUUAAGUAAUCAGCAACAAAAUUAACCCUAAAAAUCUCUUUACCCUUUUAUACCUCUAACAGACCACUUUACCCUUUUAUAACACUUGACAUUUAGCAUAGACGGGAUUAUUUUACUAUGUGAACGCUUGAAGGUGGAAAUAUAAAUUUGCAAUACCGUUAAAAUGUGAGGGAUGAAAAUUUUAACCUUUUAUAUUUCCUUCUUGCAUCUUGCUGCGUUCUCAUGCUUCCAGUUCCUUCCUUCCGUAGGGACAUUAAAUGCGCCAACAUACUGCUCGGCAAAGGUAAAUCCGCAAAACUUGCAGACUUUGGAUUCGCAAAGGUAUGUCCCAUCAGCAAAAUCAAUCUCUCUCUCUCUCUCUGCAUAAGCGCAUGAGCAGCAAAGGCACAUGCUCAAAAACAUACGCAUGCACAAAGCGCGUGCGAGCAACAAUACAUACACGUACGCGCUUGACAAACACACGUAUAGACAUGCACAAAGUGAAGCACAUGCUGUCCUUGACCUUUCCAAGAUAAAAUAUUCACUCUGUUUAUUCAUACAGGACACAAAUAUGAGUGCCGCUAAAUCCCCAGUAGGAACUUCUUUGUAUAUGGCGCCUGAGGUUUGCACCUUCCGUUGCCUUUUUUUUAACGUACUAUCAUUGGCUGUAAAAGGCACAUUUCCUUUCCAUUUCUUUUUCGUCCUCCUCGGUUGUAACCGCAGGUCGUCGGGAGUGAAGACAAGGUUAGCUAUGGGUCGGCAGUUGAUAUUUGGAGCCUCGGAUGUACUGUUUUAGAGAUGUUAACCCGCAAGCCUCCAUAUCCUGACUUAACUGAAGUAUGUAAUUGAGUAAUCUUCGUUUUAUUUUAUGUCCUCGAGAUCCACGUUAGGAAAGAGUUACUAAAUAAGUCGAGCACACGUUGUGAUGAGUCCAUUUGGCCAUCAUUCUGAGAAAACAAAUUGAGUAAGAGCGCUACAGAGAAAAGAGAGAGAACAGAUAAAUCAAUGACAGUUAUCAAGAGUAUGGUCGUGUUAAAGGAUAUGCAUAGUAUUUAUGCCUGAUGGUGUGGAUUCUAGAGCAAAUUGUUAGCUAACGUUGUGUGAAAACUCUGUCGAAUAUUUGAAUUUUGACUUUCUCUUUUAAGUAAUUUGGCAUGGUUGUCUGUCGAAAAAUUCAGAGAAAUUCUUGGGAUAGGAAACUAUUUUGUUUCAAUUUGUUUUAUUUCCUUUUCUUUCUGAAUCCUUAGAUUUAGGAAGUAGGAAAUCUGUUCCUAUUUUCUUGCUAUCUUCUAGCCGUCCUAGGCCAUAAAUAUGUUAUCUUCUCUGAAAGUAUGAUAGGCAAUGAUAAAAAGAAUAAACCACUUUUCUUCUUUGAAAUCCGCAUUCUUUUGGCAGUAAUUGGUAAGCUUUCGCGCAUUGGUCCCAGUGAACCAUUACAUAUCAUCCACAUCUCCUACUCCUGCAAUAACCGUGAUUCCAGGACUGAUCAUGGCAGAUGAUUGCCUGAAGCAUGAUGCGCUCAGAUUAGUCUACAGAUCUUAUUUGAUUUAUCCAGCCGUCAUAUAUUAGUUCCAACUGUAUUUAUGAUUCUCUGCUACGUUUUCUUUCUUAUCGUGGCAGUGGCAAGUAUAUUACAAAAGUAUGAAGGGUGUAUUUCCUGAAGUUCCCAAAGAUUUACCAGGAAAAGCUCGUGACUUCAUCGUCAAAUGCUUGCAAGUAAAACCCAGUGAUCGGCCUACCGCGGUGCAGCUGCUAGACGAUCCUUUUGUGAACCAGCCACCUACUUCUACUGGUUUUGCUUCACCUCACUUCAACAACAUGGACUCAUGAGGUUUUACUCGGCCACCAUCCCUUUACGGUUCAUUGCUCCGAAGGUCUUCUUUUCAGCACAUGGGAGGAAGACACUUUCGUCAACUUUACCACAUUUAUACUGUAUACUUCAAAAAUUCAUAACAUUUAGAGUCUAGUGUAAACUCUUAAAUUGGAGCGAACAGUCCAUGUAACUAUAAUGUUCCCAAUUCCCUAACAAACUUGAAACGUUAUACAGUUUUCUCUGUAAGUUUUAAUUAUUCCACCAUAUCUUCCUGAAACUUUCCACGGUGGUUAAUUGGUACGCCAUAGGUUAAUUGCUAGCCAUGGAAACAACCAGAGUUGCAGUUUCCCUUAGCAUAUAUAAGAAUUUAGGAGUAUGAACAUGAAAGUUUCACUAGCGUGACAGUGAGUCACAGCGACCUGUCACAGUGACGCUUUGAGAAAUGAAAGGCUUUGUUCUUCCUGCAAUUGUUGAACUUCCUUGCAAAGUUGCCUCAUGUGCUAAGAGCUUUUAUUGGACACCGGAUGGACGUUCUGGACUACUUCAGCGACCAAAUUAAUCGAAUGGCCUCGCCUUCUUUUGUGGGUGGGCGUCUUUUGGAAGAGUGUUAGUCUCCCAAAAAAACAAAAAAAAUGCUCUCGUGUUUGAAAGCAUAUGGUUAUUAGAUAUUUUUCAUGUUGCCUGUUGACUUCUCUUAGCGGCCUCGACGGUGUCAAAAUUCUUGGUUUUUAGAUUCGUCCUUUCGUUGUUUUGAUUGCAAACCAAGUCUGCCCAGCUAAAGAGUUUUAACUCAUUAUGAUAGACGUUCGGAUAGGAAAAACGGAAUGGAACAAUAGUCAGCUCUGUUUGGUGUUUGUGUAAAUCUAAUAUGCCAAAAUGCUGGGGGUGUCGUCAUAGUAUUUUCCAAUUAAAUUGUUGGUAGUGCAAUCAAAACGCUGCUGUAAUUCUCUGAGCCACUCAAUGGUACAUCGAUGACUUGCUAACACGCCCGAGGCGUCGCCAAGGUUGUGAUGUGAUGCUUUUCUUGCCAGAUAACUUCUCUUUGACACUGAUGGGCAUGUAUUAAAUUGGGGCUUCUCAAAGGAUUGACGUUCCUUGCGAGCGGUCUUGGGCUGCAACGUAUUCUUUGGCAUCCUUAUUCUGCUCAAGUUGAGCAUGCAUUGUUUAUCUGGGAAUUGUAAAUAGAAUGCCGUGUUGUAUAUUUUCCGUUAGAAAGAAAGGAAGAAAACAAAGACGUUGAUGAGGCCGCGGCGCAUUUGACCGACGAGUUUUCUGCCUCUAGGAAGCGUAGAUAGGUGCACACGACUUCUUCAGGAUAAGUAAAUCGAUCGAGGUUGGACACACUCAAUAUCUGCGAUGGAACGUGCAUUAGCUUCCUCUCUGCUUGUUUUUAUUAGCGACAUGUCGCUUCAAGAUGAGCGCUUGUAUCGUGUGAUGAAAAUUUUGUACCGACAACAAUAGGAUCCGUCAACACGAGGAGCAAAAACUGAUUUUACAUUGUGGUAUAUGCUCACGCUCAACAUCUAGGAGGCAGGGUUCUUGGAAACAUAGCGGUGCAUCCCGAGAGUCCUUCCUAACCUUUUCUUCAUUUUCCUUUAUCCUUUUUCUCUCUUGUCAAUUUUAGAUCUUCCAUUUGUGUAAAUGUCUUGAUGGGGAGUGUGUAGCAUUUGGCUAAAUGUGUAAAUGGGUUACGAGAGGGCACAAUGGGCAAGCAUUUCCUUUCCUUUCUCUAUUUUUGUUUCCAAUGGCCAAAUUUUCUACUGCAUAAAAAUCAAUUGGAGUUUAAAGUGGCAAUUCAUUUUCAUUCCAUUUAUGCUUGUAAAUGAUCAAAUAUACAUGUUGACAUCACAAAAUUUAUAUUUUAAGUUGGCAAUCAGGUUUCUGAUUUUUUAGGCUUCCAUUGCUCUUGGCAUUUGAGAUCAGCUCUUCAUUUUCUUCAAUUCGCUGGGAGUUCCCCACCGCAAUGUAAUCAAACGUGAACCCUUCUCAAUUCACGUCGUAGUUGUCAAGAGUACAGAAUAUGCUACUGGAGCUUCUAUUGUACCGUCCACCGAAUGGGUUGAGAACAUAAUGAUAAGAAGAAAUAUACUUUCGUUAUUACACCCGACUCACCUGAACCUUAGGGAACCAUUCGCUCAAGUAUUUCAACGUAAUACCUAAAAUAUUGCAAUAAAAACAACCUCCAAAGUUCGACUGGAUUGACAAAUUCAUUUUCAAGCCAGUGCAAGAGGACACUGGCCAACGAACAAGAGAAGAAGACACUUCUGCUUGUUCAAGAACACUAUGGCAUGUACAUAAUGACGCAGUUGUGUACCAGAUCACAGAGAGACCAGUGAGGAGAGAAGCAAGCAAUAAAACAUCAGAAAACAAAAAAGAAUGAGAAAUCGAGAAUUUACAAUGCUAUUAAAUGGCUCUCUGUUUUUGACAAUACACAUGCUUCAAAAUCAUCGAGCUCAUUUGUCCAGGCAAGGAGGCAAGGAGGCUCUGUACUCUGCUGAGAUGGCAUUGGCAGUCUCUGAGAGACUGGUCUUCAUCUCGGAGAUUUUGCUUUCCAUGUACUCUUUGUGCUUUGACACCAUAUCAACCAGUGAAAAGAGCUCAAAAGCGCACUUCUGGAUUUCUUCUUCACUUUCCCUAAUGGCUUCCUGCUGCUUUAUUUUAGAUGUCUGCAAAAACGAGUUAUAUAAACAUGCCACCUGAAACUAUACAUACUUACUCGGUAAGAAUAAUCUUCUACCCGAAGAUCAAUCAAUCACAUUCCAAAAGGAGGAAACCUACUGAUUGCAUGGCAUGACUUAAAUUCUGUUUAUUUAUGGCGCCAAAGAUUUCUAGCUAUAUAUUUCAGUGCCAGAAUUCAAAUGAUUGGACCAUAACAUACCUUCAGGACCUCUGCAGCUUCUCUUUCCACAAUGUUCAAGUUCUGAGUUUCUACUUCAACAUCCUCCACCAUCCUUUGCACCUCCAGUGCACAUCUAUGAAUAUAGUCUUGCAUUUCUUGCUUCAGUAGAUUGAUUUGACCUUCAAGCUGAGCAAAAUUCUUGCAUUAGAGCUUUUGCCAAUACGAGGAAAUAACAGACAAGUAGACCACAAAUUCUUGUGUUAUGCUAACUCUCACAAUGCAAUAUACCACUAUUGUCCUUCAGAUGUUUCAGAUUAAGCACUUCUACAUGUACUUCUACAGAAACAUAAUAAAGGAUGCUAAGCCUAUGGUAUUUUUCCUGACAUUAGUUAGCCAGCUUUGUUCUCAAAGGACACCCAUACCAUAUUCUACAGCUCCUCAUAUCAUGUUUGGUAUUGACAGAAAGAAAAUUAAUCGCAAAUAUUAACAGAAUUCCUAAUUUGUCUGUGAUGAUGAAUUAAACGAACUGUUUUGUUCUAAAAGUAUAUCAAGCACAAUAUCGUAACUCUUCAAUACUGAAAUCAUAUAAAUUUUUCUACUGCCGUUGACUACCCAUAGCAAGCAAUUGCUAUUCAAUCCCCCCCCCACCAAAAGCCUACAUUACCAACCUCUUGCCAAGUCCGUCAUUACACCCCACACCAAGUUGGAUGUUAUCACCAGUUUCUCUUUCCAAUUUCACCAACAAAUCAGUAAUUUCAUUGGUAUCAUAAAGGCAAAAGCUUUCAGUUCUAAGAGAUGAGACAGUCUGAACAAAUUGUGCGUUGGUACUUAAUCUAAGUACUUACAUCAUCAACACGGGAAUGAAGUUGCACAAUACGAUUUCUCUUCUCCUCAAUCCUAGCAGCAGUUUCUUUGGACUGCUGCUGAAGGAUGAUUAACUCUUCAAGUUUCUCCACCGAGCUUUUGUUUAUGUCAUUGGCAUGCAAGUCGAGUGCCGGCUUUAGCGUCGACUUGUAGUCGAUGCCCAUCACCUCAGCAGGUGUAGACCCCUUUGCAUUCAACACAUACUGGUAAUCUGAACCUAGCUUCAACCUAGAAUCACAAAACCAAAAAGAGUAGUUGAAUGAGAAGGACAACAGAAAAUCACUCAAAAAGAAAGAAAUUGCUCAAUGGGAUGAUAACAUCAUAAUGAAAGCUGCACAACCUCAAACGUGGCACUUAGAUUAACUCAACACAUUCUUCGCAAUUAUUAACCUCAGAACAACUUAGCACUGCAAGACAUAUAUAAACAAUAAAGAAAACAAACUACAGCAUCACUUCUUGAUGAGAUAAAAACAAUUAAACUCAUCACAGGCCGAAUCAGUACAGGCACAAGAACCAGCGCUGAAGAGAUACAAAUACACAAAUUCAUGGAGAAUGUAAGUCUGUUGACGUUGAUGUUGAAGAAUUCCAUGAGAUAUCUAUCAACCAGUGUUUUGUAGAUAACCAAAACAGCAAACAUAUCCAGAUUCAACCCUGUAAGUACUAGACGAUUUCCAAGAUGGCAUCCAAACACCAAGGGCACAUGACAUAGAAAACAGUAAAACCAAUGAAGAAGAACAAUUAACAAAAUUUGCAGCGACUACAAGAAUUAGGAACUUACUUCCGGACAGCCUUGUUGCAUUCCUUGGCGAGUUCCUCCAGCUCCUUGAAUUUGAGUGCGAGGGCCCUGUCGAGAUCCCAGCACUUCUCCUCGUACUUGUUCCUCUCGAUCUCAGCAUCAGCGAUCUCCCCCUCCACCGCCUGCAACUCCUUCUUCAUCCUCUCCGCAUCCCUCGAGUUGAACGUCUGCAGCUGGACCGUCUUCUUCAAUUCCUCGUUCUCCUCACGAAUCCUCCCCUCCUCCUCCUCCUUCGCCCUCAACUCCUCCUUCUUCUUCUCCAAUUCCUUCUCCAAUGCCGGGAUCCUCCCCGUGAUCUCGCCUAUUAUCGUAUUGAACUUCUUCACAUCCUCCUCCAGCACGCUCUUCUCCUGCUCGCGCAGUUCCCUCUCCGACGGCCCCGUCCUCAGCUUCUCCACUCUGGCCUCGACUUCCGCCGCAUUCUUCUCCAGGUUCUUCACAUUCUCCGCCAGAUUAUUCCUCUCCUGCUCCAACUUCUCCACGAACUCCCUAUCCAGCGCAUCCACAGCAUCGUCGUCUCCACCGAUGAAAUGCAGGUAGCUCUGGAGCGCGUACUCGUCCAUCGUGUUGUUUUCCCCGAACGAGCGAGACUUGGAAGCUAAGUGGUCGUUGUACGACGCGAUCUGUACGAGCCAGUGCAAGACGGCGACGAAGGUCGGCCAGGCGUGGGGAGUGGCCGGCGUGCGGAGCGCCGACUUGGUGACUUUGAACGGGCAGUUGAGCGAUUUGAGCAGGACGGGGAGGUCCUCCUCCAUCUUAGGGUUGGGGUAGUCGAGCUGCGAGAUCACGA